UUUGUCCGGGCAGAAAAGCCAUCAUAACAAUCAUGUUAUGUAGGCAGUAGGCUGUUCCUCGUCCUUAAUAUUACCUAGUGAGAAGGAUGUUUCAAUCUUUGGUGGAUAACAGAGUAACAAUAGAUAUAUAAAGAAGGGGGAAGGUUCUCAACAAAAGAUUCAACAUCCCGAGUGGAACACAAAUCAAAUUUCAAAAGCCAUGCAAACAAGAAAAUGGGUUCUUCUCUGCAUCAGUAUCUUCUCUGCAUCAGCAAUCCAAGUAAUAAAAUAUGUUCUCAGGAUCUGUCAAAGACUUGACAGGCAAGUUUUGUAAUAUUAGUUAAGCUGGAUCAGCACCUAUAACUCAGAAAUUUCUUCAUUUUUAUCUGAGUAUGGAGGUAUGACAUCCAUGUAGAUAUUCCUAGCUCCCUACAGCAUCCAUGUAGAUAUUCCUAGCUCCCUACAGCAAUUUUCACUAGUUUCAGUUUUCCUGGAAUCUAUAUAUGUAAAACAACUACCUUUUGCGAGUAAAGAGUGUAUGUUCAUUCAGUUUUGUUGUCAAUUCAGUUUGAUUUUUCUUCUUUCUUUGCAAUAAGGACUGUGUGAUACAAUUCAUCUGAGGCUAUUGUGCACUUUAUUGCUUUCAUUGUUAAAAGAAAACAGCAUUGUAUAAUGGCUAGCAUUCCAGCUUUAUUGCCAACGUUCCCCACCUAUAGCCUUGCAUCCUUAGCAAUAGCACAUUGCCUAUGUGCACUAUGUGCUCUGCCAUUCCUACCUACGUGCAGAGUUCCUUUCGGAUGACGAAAAUGAAGUACAUCCAUUUUACUAGCAGAAUUGAAUGCAUAAAAGAAUAAUUCUGCAUUUUACAUUCUGCCGUGAUGAGAAAGGGUUGGUUGUAGUAGGACCCUGUAUCUCAUGACUGGUACGUAAUAUAUUCGAGAUCAACAAUUGUAAGUGCAUCCACAAUUAUAAAUUUCUAUGCCAUUAAAUGAAGAAGAAAUCACAUGAAAUCAAUAGAGAUGUAAUUGUUAUGAACCGAUAGUACAAUUUAUGUUGAUCUCAUAAAUAAAAACAAUCUGGAACUAAUGAAAAAGAAAUUUAUUUAUUGAUAUUCUCUGACCAAUUGAGCAUGAACUGCGCCUCUGGUGGAUUGCGCCAUUAGGGGACCGAUUGAUAGGCAUGGCAAUGUCUGGACAUCAUAGCAUGGCUUAAAGAAUGGAUGGCGUAGAGCCUCUGCAGCCGUUGGCCUUUUACUUGGAUUCCAUGAUAGUAACGAUGUCAUCAAGUCGAUUGCUUCUUUAGAAACAUCUGGCAUUACCAUAUCAAAUUGUAUUAUUUGAAACUGUGGAAAACGAUAGUAUUUAGCACUUUUUUUCACCCAUGAUGUCUCAUCGGGAGAACCCAUGAUGCAAAUUUUGAGCUUCUUCCCAUGAAUAUUUUUUAUCCUUCAAAAUCUUAAUCGCGACAUUUUCACCACUAUGAUUAUCAAAGGCCUUCCAUACACAACCAAAUUAAGUUUCCUUCCCCGAUUUUUGUACCAAAAGUAUACUUUGAUAAUAAAUAAGCUGAUUGGUUGUUCAUCACCAUACCACCACUCAUUAUCAUCUUGUCAAAACACACCGAAACCCUCAGCAAGCAAAAGAGAUUUUUAGAAAAACAAAGAACGAGAUGAUAUGAGUAACGCUUAUAUAGAGUUGUGGUAUAUCAAUUACGAGUUACACAUGACUUGGAAGUACACCUGUACGUGAGAGAUAAACGCAUUGAGUUGCAUGCGCGGGAACAAACUCUGAUUCCUGUUGCUUUUAUUCAGGUUUAAUAAACUUGCCGGCUCUCCACUUUGUGAGAGACUGAGAGGUAUGGUAUGGUAUGCAAGUAGAGCAGUAAAUGUAUUCCUGAUUUCCUUCCACUAUAAUUUUCUAUAGAUCGAUACCAGGUCAGUUUUCGUUUUGGUCUCCCCCACACUGAUCCUUCGACUCGUCCUCAAGUCGAAUCAUACAUUUAACUUGGUACCAAUGCCAUAUGGAUAUAUUCAAGAUGUUCCCCAUCAAUCUCAUAAUUUUUACCCAUCAAUCAUUUGUGCCAAACAAAUGCAUUGAAGAGCAAUACAUUGAAACAGUGCUCAAAUAUAACAACUCUGAAAAUUCCCAUAACACAUCUGUGGCAAAGCGAAGCAGCAGAUAACAAAACAAGGACUCUUCAAAAUUAAAAUUAGAUAAUUAUUAAAUAACCAAAAUUUACAUGUACUUUCAAAAUGUGAAUAAAUUCAUAAGUUCAUCAAAGCUUGCGACAGGUGAUAUGGUUACCAAAAAUCACUGCCAUAUCAUAUCAAGACCAGAUAGAAAUAUAACAAAAUGGACCAAUAUCAAGUCCAGUAGCAGUAUGGCAGUCCAUUUGUAUAUGCAGUCGGGUGGUGCAGAUGAUAUCAUAACCCCAACUGUUUGUGCUCACAGAAAUGCUAUGUAAUUAUAACGGAACCUCAAAAAUAAUUAUCAGAAACAUCCCAGGCACUUCAUGUUCCUCCUUGUACAAUAAGCUUAUCCUCGUGUAGGGAAUAAGUGAGAAUUGUUGUAACUUCGACAUCAAAAACUAUCGACGCAUGCAGUUUAUCCAUCAUUCUUUGCCUUCAUGUACUAUAGAGUGCUAAUAUCCACUCGGCUUUUAUGGAGCUGAAAUGCCGGAGUGAUCCAGCUUCCACAGCUGCACUGGAUGCCUGACCAGUUGAAGUAACCCAACCGGGCAUCACAAUGAGGACAGAACAACUUCCCUUCCAAUGCACCUUCUUCAACUGGGUGAAAAGUGUGAAAUAUAAGUAGUGCACAUAACAUGUCAAAGCUCUAGCAUUAUAUGACAACAGUUGUAUUUUCCUGUUCAUAUUAUUUAGUUUUUUCCCUUGAAUCAGCUACAUCCAUUUAAUCAAGUACAUCUCAGGUGAUCACAGGCCUUAUAGUGCAAAGUAUGAAUUUUUAUUUACUUAUUUAUUUACUUUUGAGAGGUAAGUAAGACUUUUGUAAAAUGAUUGGUUUCUUUGUCUGUAAAAUAGAAAUCAAGCUUCCGAAUUACAACCAACUGGCUUACCAACACACAAAUGUAUAGGAAAAAGAACAGUUUGAACUUUUGGUCAAUCGCAAGCAUUUCUCAGUGCAUUCUAUAAAAAAUACUUGUGUAAUACAAGUGGGGACAUUUAGAAAAUAGGAAAGCUAUACCUGUCUUCAUCCACCGUAGAGGCUCCAAAAAGAUAGACGAGCAUUCAUGUUCAUCAGACCUGUUGAACGGAUUUCCACCACUCCGCUUCUGCCACUUAAAACAUGUCUCCCCCUCGCCAGGUUUGUGCUCCACCACAUUGUCUUGCAAAGCCAUAACUCUCCUGCACUUUUUGCAGCGAUAGGCAGGAUUGAGCUUAGUAAUUUCAUUGGGAGAUGUGGAAGACUCUGAAGAGUCAGCAACUGCAGGUAAACCAGGAUCAACCCCAAACUGGGAACUAUCUAUCCUUUCCCCUCGAUUAUAUGAAUCACCUGAAAAUCAUGGGGUGCACACAUCUUUAGCUGGAACCUCACAACAGAAAAGAUGUAACAUUCCAAGAAUUUGAAGAAAGGUGCAUCCCUUUUCUACUCUACUUUGUCAUACCAAUAAACUAUACAAUUAGAGAGCUAAUAAGUCAAACCACAGAAAGACACCCCACCCUGCUGGAGCUUCAUUGAGGACACCGGGAUGUGCCCUUUGGCCAAUGUGUUUGGAUGAGAGGUCUUGAUGAGAAUGAUGGGUUCUGACACCUAGCAUUGUGUAAUAAUGUAACCCCUAUUUCUUGUAUUUGCUUUUAUUGUUAUUUGUGCAGCACACCCUACUUCUCUUUCUAAUUGACUAUAUACAUAAAAUUUACCUUCGCCGAUUUGUAUGAAGGGGAAAAAAACAAAGAAGAAAAAGGACAAAGGUUAACAUAAUAAAAAACGAAUGGGAACCCAUUACUAUGAAUCAACCGGAGAAAUAAUAGGAUGUAUGAAACUCAAAUUCGCAUACCACACACUUUUUUUAAUCAACCUAACACAGGACUAAAGCUAUCUAUUGUCAAACUUAGCAUUUCUGCAUUCAUUAGGAAAGAUUCAUGUAAUCUCAAAAACAAAGCCACUGUGGUGCUGAGACUUUUAAAAUCAUAAUUUCAAUUUAGAGGUAAGCAUUUUAAAAAGGGUUUCUAAGUGUUGUCGAUGAUCUAGGACCCAAGCAAAUUGUAAUCUCCCACACAACUGUUGAAAGUGAGAUAAAAGUGAGAAAACUAACCUAAUAUUUUCAAGUGAAAACGCUUGUAUAUCGGGCUCGUAGGAUCAACUUUGAAACCCAUGCCUUCAAACAUCUUUAACUGAAAUGAAGGAAUAAAACAUGAAAGAAACAAGGGUUAAUUGAAAUGCUCAUAAAAUGUAACAUAAAUAUAUAGCAGACUUGCAGUUCUAAAUGCUCUGUAUGAAACUAUGAAUUAAUCAAAUUAUAAUGAGACUCGCCUGUUCCAAAAAUCCAUCAUUAGGGCAAACAAACUCACAACUUUGUCGUAAUGAUACAAGCGCAUCUGCAGAACAUGUUUGCAAAAACAUAAGAGUCAAUGACCAAUCAUAUAAUAAAGAUACCUUGUCGCUACAAAAGGAGCGGAAGGAAAACAUAAAUGAAGUCCACAAAAAAUAAAAAGAAAAUGUUUCAACCUUCAUGAGAGAGUUGUUCAGUUCUCAUCAGAUAUGCUGUAAUGAUAGAUGCACUGCCAUAAACCAAUACAAAGUGCUGUAAGUUCAGGUCAGGCUGAUAGUGUAGGAGAUCUAAGCCUAUAGACUAAAACACAGAACAGGAUGUAUAAAAUAAAAUUGUUUCUGUCUUCUACUUCACGACAUCUUCCUUCACAAUAUUUAUCCAAGUAUUUUAUAGCUUUUAGGAACUACACAGUAAAGUGCGAACAAUCCUCAACAUGAAAGUACAGUACGUGUGAAGGUCUGGCUUGAUAAAUUACAUAACAUAAUGUAUGAAAUUAAAAUGUUUUUGUCAUCUACUAUCACAUUAUUUUCACUAUCAGAGACAAUAAAAUUCAAUCAACACUUGGCUACCUCUACAACAAUUCUGACUAGGAUUCCAUAGUUAUGAAUAUCAACUAUAAUCUAAAUCAAGAGAUUACGAAACCCUAAUUUACCCAAAAUGAGUAAACAAUAUUUGACCGGAAGCACAAAUCAUUUCCCACAUAAAAUUCAAUUAAUCUAACACCAAAAUUUAGCAUUAACCAUUAUUUAAAAAUGAAAACUUGAAAUAGAAGAAACAAAGCAAUACCUUCUUGAAACACCUGCGAAACAAUGUACUAAAACAGAGCCUUGUUUUCUACUAUUAUCAAUAAAAUCCAAACAAACAUCCAAAUAAUCCAAUAAAUUCUCUCUUUCCAUAUCUCUUAAAGGAACACCCAUUCUUACUAACUUCAAAUCCUUUCCAGCAUAUUCCACCAAACACAUUAACUUGUUCUUCUUCUUCUUAUCACUAUCAGUUUCACUUUCUUCUUCAACAACUAGUUGUUCUUCUUCUUGUUUUGAUUCUCUAAAGUAAACUUUACGAAUUUCUUUUGUUGGAAAAACCAUUUCAGAACGCCAUUCAGAGAAAAAUGAAAUUGAUGCUGAACUUAAAACUGAUAAUAUAUGAGUUACCUCUUCACUUCCAUUUACAAGAAUCUCUGCUGCAUCUUCUAUAUUACCUAUGUAAAGGUUUUCACGAACCAAAUACGGCAUGAUUGCUAUAAAGAAAGAUUAAUUUUCUUUCUCCUAGGAUUUUGGUGGGAUUUUUUUUUUUUUUUUUCUGUAAGAAAGAUGAUGAUGAAGAAGGAAGAAGAAAACCCUUCUCUUCUCUUCUCUUCUCUUCUCUUUCUCUUUUCUUGUUUUUCUUUCUCUCUCUUUCUCUGGUUCGUCAGCUUAUUAUCUUUUUUUUUCUCUUUUGUGCUAACGGUACUUUCAUAUAUAGUAAAAAAAAAUUAGUCACGUGUGAAGCGCGUGGAUAAAGCGAUGUAGUAGUCCCACUUAUGUUAAGGUGUUGAUUUGAAAAUGGUGAAUAGUGAUUGAGAGAUUUUGAGGAAUAAUUGUUGAAGAAUUUUGGAUUACUUUGCUUUGAAGUUAUGCUUUUUCUAUUUAUUAAAAAAAUAAUAAAUUUUUUUUAUAAAUAUUAUAUUAUAAUGACCUAGAAUCGAGAUCUUGAAAUUGUUUCUAUAAACAUUUUAAUGCAUGUGAUUGUUUACAUUUAAUAAAAUAUUUAAAUUUCAAAUAUUAGUGAUCUUCAAUUCUUAUAAUAUAAAGAAAACCCCACUAAAGAAUUUCUUUUUCUCUUAUCACUAGCAAGUUAACGAUUCUGUCUCAGGACCGUUUGCAGAGGCUGACGUGGUUUAAACUUAAAAACAGAGGAUAGGUGUGAUGAUCCAACGGUCGAGAUGUAUCUUUAAUCCAACGGUUCUAAUAUGUUUUUAAUGUUAUCGUUGGACCCGACUAAACCAGGCUUUUAAAUAGGCCUGUAAAAUGGGUCGGGUAGGGCUAGCCCGACCCUUGAACCCUCGAGCCCUCACACUUUAAGGGUCGGGCCAACCCUACCCUAAAAGAUGAUGAGGGACGGGUUAGGGUGGGCCAACACAAAAAUUGUAAAAACCUCACCCGACCCUUAGCCCUUUAUUUUAAAGGGUCGAGGGCCGUGCUAACGGGCCCGGUUGAUAGGGUCGAUACAUAGAAUUAUGUUUUACUUAGAAAAAAAAAUGCGAUCAUGUUUUUAUUAAUAUCAUUUUAAUAUUUUUGAAAAUACGUAUAAUAUGUUUCAUUCUUAAAUGUACAAAUAUAUUUUUUUCACCAUAAAAUUUGUUAAAGUAUAUGAUAUUAUUUUAUCCAAGACGCAUUACAAUUAAUAAAUACAAAGAACUCGUAGUUAGAUGUUAUCUUAUUACUAAAAUUUUAAACUUUAGAAAUUUAAUCUUAAAUUUAUAAAAUUCUAGCAUAAUAAGUAUAAAAUACACAUUUAAAAUAAUAAUCUAAUUACCGUUUAUUGCAUGCUCAAUAAUGAAAUAUAUGGUUAAUAAAAAAAUAUUCUAUUGAGAAUUAAUUUUUUUUAGUUAUAUAAUAGUUUUUUAACAACUAGUUCGGAAAAUAUUCGAUAAACAUUUGAUAAAUAUCAUAUAACUUAAACAAAAGUGACAUCUAUGUCUAAUUGGAAAAAUCUUUACGGUUUAAAACUCUAAAAAAAUAUCCAAAUUUUGAUAUAUAGAGAAAUAUAUUAAAAAUUAUACAUAUAUUUAUGAGGGCCGUAAGAGGGCUUUGAGAGGGUUAAUUAGGGUCGGGCUAAAUAGUGUCUUCUUCCCCAAUUUUAAUAUCUGACCUCUGAAACGCAAACAGAGACACAGUGAAAAACCAAAUUUGUCUUGGUCGCCUUCUUCCCAAUCCCAAUUUAAGGUUAGAAUGAAUUCAAAAGGUGCUUUACCUUCAAAACCAUUUUCCAUUACAGAAACAAAAUUAAGUGAAAAAGUUGAUUGAAGUUGGACACUUUACCUUCAAAUCCUAGCUACGAUCAAACUCUGAUCACAUGUCCACUAAGAAUUUGAGUUGAAUUUACCACAAAUACAACAGAUUUGGUUGAAAGACAAGAUCUUGCUAGGGUUUAUGAGAGGGAGAAGAAGGAAUUAGGCGGGAAGAAUGGGAAAGAUCGCGCCUGUGAGUUGUUAUCACGCCCAAGUGUUUGCUUUUAUAUUAUCAGAUCCCUCACCCUAGCCGUUGAUAAAAACCAUUCAGAUUAAGACACGUGCCUCAUUAUGAUUAAACCGUUUAUAUGUUUUUAAGUUUUAACUACGUCAGCGUUUUUCGAAUUAAAUAAACCACGUCAACAUCUACAAACGGUCAUGAGACAGAAUCGUUAACUUGCUAGUGAUAAGACCAAAAAGAAGUCUUUAGUGGGGUAAACACAAAUAUUAACAUAAAUUUCUGGGGUUUUUACAAAAUGGCCCCCCUAUUGUUCCUUGAGGCUCAUUUACUCAUUGAGUUGAUGAUGCAUUGAGUCCUUGAGGAUUGAGAUGAUAACAUUGGAGAUAUGGCGGCAAGCAUGGAAAAUGGCAAAGUGAACAUUGGAUGUUGUGCCAUGGUGAUGGAAUUAUGUACAGUAUCAUACCCGAAUAUUCUUUUCUUUUUAUACUCUCAAAACCUCAAAGGGUAGUUAAAGAUGCGACAACCCAAUAAUAUCUCAUACAAUAAUUGUUAACCAUAUCUAUGUACCGACGACUUGUGUAGUUGUGCUACCUGUUGAUUAUGCCAAAAGCAGUUUUAAAGAGUCUGGAAACUCAUCUUUAUGAUUGUGAGCCAAUCAGUCACUCAUCACUCUUUUAUUUCAUCAACAUUUUUACAAACUUUUAUUCUAGAUUAGAGAUUAAAAUUUAGAUAAUAGUACUAUCAUUCACAAUUCACUUAACAAAAAGCAUAAUUUGUAAUUUGUAGACAUGUAGUUAAUCACGAGAUAAAAAAAAAUUGUGAUAUUUUUUUUUUUUAAUAGAUAAGAUGGUGAUCAUUGAAUUGAAUUGGAGAUUUGGAUUCAUGUUUUGAACUCUGAUCAAUGUUGUUGUUAGCAAACGAGGUUGAGAGUGCCUACCCCUUUAAAUACACAUGAAUAUGAACACUUAUAUCAAACAAUCAGUUAUUGAUGUGUUUCCAACCUAGGACCUCUCAAUUUUAUGAGAAGUAUGCAACCGUUGGGCCACAGGCUAUGUGCUUCGCAAAAUAUUUAAGUUUCACAUUCACUUGUUUUCAAAAUAUAUAAUAAAAAUUAAUAAAAAUUAAUAAAAACCUAUUGGUUUUCCCAAGAGUCAAGACCAUGAUGAGGCGAGGCACAAAACAAAAUAAAUAAAGAGAUAGAAGAAGUGAAUAUCUAUAGAAUAAUACUUUCACUCGACCCAUAUAUACUAACCUAAACCAACCCUCUUCAACGAAACCAACAUUAUUAAGGAUACCUCAUGGAAAUUUUAAAAGAAAUAAGGGUAAUUUAGUCAUUCUAUAAAUUUACACGACGAAAACGUUCGUUCGACAUCACCACCAUUCUCCCGCUUGGUUUCAUUUACAAUAGCAAAGCAACAGAGAAGUAGACAAGAUAAGAUAAGAUAUAAUUAACAAAGCAAUCUUGGCCGUCAGAUCACUCAGUCAUAACUCCUCCUACCAUAAUAACCAGGGUUAGCACUACUAUCCUUCUAUGGUGUUUUUUUUCUGAUUUUUUUUAUUAUUAUUUUGGAUUUUUUUUUUCAAAUAUUUUGGGUAAUAGUUAUGUUCUGUGACAUAUAAAUAUGAUUGAUUGGUUGAAUUUAUUGAAAUGGGGUUUGGGAUUUUUUUUUUGUUAUUAGUGUUGUGUAGAAAUUGUACAAUUGAAGAAUAAACUGUUACUGAUUACUUGCCAUAUGUGAUGUAGUCAUAUGUUGGUAUGAAUGGAGAACAUUGAUUAAACACAUAUUGAAAUGUAAUUGAUUAAACUGUCCAUAAUGAAUUAGAAUGUAUUUUAAGUUAGCUGAAUCGUUUCGUACGUUGUUUCAUUUUCGAGUUAUAUGAGUUAUUAGGCAUGAUUUGACACAAAUGAUACUUGCAUUUCAUAUGACAUAUCACAUAUUGCAAUAGUAGUCAUUUUGAAGUACAUGAUCUCUAACAUCAGGUUAUUGUGAAAGCAAAGUACUAAUCUUGUCAACCUACAGACUACAAUCAUCAACUACUCACUUUUUUCUCACUGUAGUUUGAAUUUAACAUGUUAAUCUUCAUUAGUCAUGAGUUUAUUGACACAUGUUAAUCUUCAUUAACAUGGCACAUUUAUGCAAACCUCAUUCAACAUUGCAGUUUUCCACUUACAAGAACCUGUUUGUUGUUGUCUUUGAGACUUAUAUUUUAUGGGAUCCAUAACUUUGUUGAUGGAAGUAUUUUAACAAUAAAAUCUCUAAUCUUUGCAGUUCUUUUUUGACUUUUAUAUUUCCAGGUGUGGUAUACCGUAUACCUGUUUUGAGGGAAGAGCCAAGCCUUCGACAUUGCUCACUUACUGUCAACAUCUUGCUCUUUGAAAUUGAUAACCAGUAGCAAGUCUGACCUUAGACAUAUGAGUCAAUCUUCCACCUUUUAUCCUACUUCUCUUACUUUACAAACUUCCACAUUUCCAUCAAAGAGGUCACGCCAAAGAGGUCUUACUGUUUUUGCAACCGCACUAUCUCCAAGUCAAAGCAGCUCUGUGUUUGAUCACAAAGACACUGAACCAUCAAGGCCAAAGAGAGUCAUGAUUAUAGGCGGAGAUGGAUAUUGUGGGUGGGCUACCGCUCUUCAUCUUUCCAAGCAAAAUUAUGAAGUUGCCAUUGUAGAUAAUCUUGUCCAACGACUUUUUGAUCUUCAACUUGGUCUUGAUUCACUAACACCAAUCUCUUCAAUCCACAAUCGUGUCCGACGAUGGAAAUCUCUGACAGGAAAAACUAUUGAGCUUUAUAUUGGUGACAUAUGUGAUUUUGAAUUUUUAUCUGAGACUUUCAAAUCUUUUGAGCCUGAUUCUGUUGUUCAUUUUGGUGAACAACGCUCGGCUCCUUACUCCAUGAUUGAUCGUACUAGAGCGGUGUUCACGCAGCAUAACAAUGUGAUUGGUACACUAAAUGUUCUGUUUGCUAUCAAGGAAUAUAGAGAGGACUGCCAUUUAGUAAGCUGGGAACAAUGGGCAAAUAUGGGACUCCCAACAUUGACAUUGAGGAAGGAUACAUUACAAUUAACCACAAUGGCAGGACAGAUACAUUGCCUUACCCAAAGCAAAGAAGCUCAUUUUACCACCUGAGUAAGGUCCAUGAUUCCAAUAAUAUAGCAUUUACUUGCAAGGCGUGGGGGAUUAGGGUUACUGAUCUGAACCAAGGAGUGGUAAUGUAUCCUAUGAGCAGUAGUGCUACACACAGACCCAAUGGUGGGUUAUUGGAAAUGUGUCUUAUGAGUAAGAGCAUUCCCAAUGGUAAAAGGGUUUUAGGGGUGCCACAUAGGAGAGAGAGGAAAGGUUUUAGCAUAAAAUUAAUGUUAAAAGUGAUUAGUGGUUUUAGAGUUUCCAAUGGUUGGUUUUAAAAUAAGUAUUAAAACUUAAUAUUUUAUUUUUUCAAAAAAAACAGUGUACAUUAUGGGUAAAUUUAAUGUUUAAGAGCAUUCCCAAUGGUAGGUUUUAAAUCACUUUUAGCAAUUUUUAGUAAAAAACUCUUGCCAAUAGUGGGUUUUAACACAUUUUUCAAGCAAAACACUUUUAUCUCCUUGGCAAAUUUGUCAAGGAGUUAAAAGUGCCACAUAGAACCAUUUUAUUAAUUAAAAAUUAGAUUUCAUCACAAUGUACACUAUAUUUUUUGGGAAAAGUGAAACCUUAAAUUUUAACCCUUGUUUUAAAACCAACCAUUGGUAACUCUAAAAGUGCUAAUCACUUUUAACAUAAAUUUUAUGCUAAAACCUUUUCUCUCUCUCCUAUGUGGCACCCUUAAAACCCUUUUACUAUUGGGAAUGCUCUAACUAGCUAAAAAAUCCUACGUGGCACUUUUAAGUCCUUGGCAAAUUUGCCAAGGAGUUAAAAGUGUUUUACUUGAAAAAUGUGUUAAAAGCUACCAUUGGCAAGAGUUUUUUACUAAAAGUGUCUAAAAGUAUUUUAAAACCUACCAUUGGGAAUGCUCUAACAGUUUUAUGAGCUGAACAAUGUAAUUAUGUUACCCUAUCAGUUUUAACCAUUGAAUGCAACAUAAUUAUGUUCAAAAUUGAUAACAUUGAAUCAACUCCCUUGACUCCUCAUUCACCAUGGAAAAUGAACUAUCCAUUUCCUCCAACUUGAUCUCCUUCUUCACCUUAAAAUCGAGAAUCAACUUCUCUACCCCUCUACAACACUUACAUGCUAUCGCAUGGACCCUAACGGUGAGUUAUCCGAAACGUAUCUUGUGGGGAACCAUUUCUAUUUGUAGAAUCACCCCUAUUAGGUAGGAGUAUAUACAAAUGGUAAGUGGGUUAAACGACCUAAUGUAUGUUAUGUGGAAGGAACUGGGGGCAAGGAAAGUGGAUUGAAAUAUGGAAAACAAUAACAUGAAGAAAAUAAAUCGGCAAUGUUUAUACAUUAUUAUUUUAUAGAUUCAUUAUUAUCUUAUUUUCGUCAAAUUUCAAAUACAAAUUUGUUGAUAUUGCAUUAUUUUAUAUAAGUAAUAAAACUAUAAGAACAAAUGUGUAAAUACCUGAUAAACUCACUAAAAUAGGAAACUGCCUGAUAUUUUUUUUUAAAUAAAAUAAGGGGGUUUAGCAUGGACCCCUUGUCACGACCCUAAUAUCCAAACAUUGGUAAAAAAAGAGAAUUUACAAAAUUACCCUCAAGAUGCCAAUAAAUGGAAAAAGGAUCAAGACAGUAAUCUAAAUAAACAUUUGCACCAGGUAAAAAUCCAUAACUAUUUAAAGUCAAGUACUUCAACACAAAUAGUUUGGACUCCCAAUAGUUUCCAUAAAUAAUCUGAAAACUCCAAAUACUAAAUUAAACAACUCCAAUAUUAAAAUUCAACAACUUCCUGCUAAGGCAUUGUCUUCCCCAAUCAACAAUAAUCCAAUAAAUGAAUAAACUUGAAUAAUCCAUUGACAAACAAAUCAAAGAACUAAACCUACUAUGAAAUAUAACUUCUACGAUCUCAAACUCCUUCCCGAACAACUGGAUCUACACGAGCCUCCUGGUGUUGCUCCCGAUCGUACUCAACUGGUUGCUCUCCUCCACCUACGCUCCAUAAGGAUACGCACCCACGUGCAAAACACGCAACAUGGGUCAGCAAACUAUGCUGGUAUGAGUAGACGAGGGUAGGGAACUCCAUUCCCAAAAACAAUAAUAUAACAGACUCCGCGGUCUUUAUACAUUUAUCUCGUUUACUAAGUAAAUAUUAUAUGUUAUAAUAAUACAUUACCUGAGCUGCACCUCCUAUUAGGAUAGGUCGAGCCCUGCAAGAAAUGUUAAUUGACCUAUCCUCCUGCAAAACUGUGUUAGUACAAUAAUAUAUAAUUCAUGGCAUCUCAAGUCUCGACACUAUAUCUCAAUCACUACAAAUCAAUCAUUACACCCAAACAACACUUCACAACCUAUACCCAAUCACUAGUACAUCUCCCACAGGAUGCACUCCACACAUUUGCCAUACCCACACUGCACCAGUGUGCCUUGACCAUGGUUAAGACCCUCUACGUGGAAACCAAAACCCAAGUGGGUGCUCACCUGCAAGCUUUGGCUAGCCUCGACGUAUGCCUAACUCAUGGCCUCUACUAGCUCCCUUUAGCUUUCUAAAGUGGCGCCCAGACCAACCCCGAAGGCUAUGAAGGUCUGUAGGGUCAGUUCCGCAGGCUAAGCCAUCUAGGAAAUACCCAAAUAUAUUUCAAGAGUCAACCCGCAGGCUAAGCCGUCUAGGGUGCUAAUUAAUUUCUUAAUCCUAAUUCCACAGGUGCGGCAAAUGUACUAAUGCUUGGGCGACUACCAAAACAUCUAAACUAUCAAUCAAUCAAGUAACACUCGAUAAUAAAAUUACACAUCAACUUCACAUUCCAAUUCCAUUUUGUAUUCCUUUUACGUUUUUUCCAAAUUAAUCAAAUACCGUUCAUGGUAUAUAAAGCCAUUCCAAGGCAUUCAUUAACAAACUCCUCAAAUUUAAUAUCAAAAUAUUUUUAUAUUUUCCAAAAUAAGAAUUCUAUCUACAGUACAACCACAAAGAGAACACAUUCGGCGGAUAAUAUUUACUGUACCACUAAACUACAUAAAUCCCUAUAGCCCUAGUCUCAUUAAAAUUCUAUCUAUUAGUAUAUAUAUACCUAGUCCAAGUAGGUGAACAGUAACCAAGAGUGAUAUCGAAAACUCGACAAUUUAUGAUCACACGUGCCCAUUUCCAUACAAUCAAGCAAUUCUGUAACCCAAAGUUCUAAUGAUUUAAUGACUAUAUCAGAUCAACUCAUAUCAGAAAAUUUCAAGAUAAGAAAACAUAUAUUAUACAUACUUAAAACCAUUUGAAAUAAAAAUUAUUUAAUAAACCAAAAUAUAAAGCAGUUGGUGAACAACUUGAAAACAAACAAAUUCCAACACAUAGCCCGUGCACUAUUGUUAAACAUUAACACACCAUCAUCACCUGAUUGUAUACCAACGGUUAUUAUCAUAUCUUUUUAUUUAUGUAAUCAAAUAGUAAGAAUCUUAACAUCUGUAUAUAGAUGAAUACUAAUAUUAAAUAACAAUAUAAUAUAGAUUAACUUAUAUCCACUCACCUGCUACCACUAUUGUUCGUCUUCUUCCACCAGCUUCUAAUCUGUGCGAGUCUGUGGCGCUCCCGUCACCACAACCACUGCUACUUCUUCUUCCCCCUUAACCCCAAAUCUCUGAAUGUUGAGUUUUCCGAAACUUCCUAUCCUUUCCACCUCUGGGUCGCCGCCACUCUUUCUCUCUUUUCUUUUCGUAAACCUUUCUUUUUUUAUAAACGCAAACAACUUCUGAUCUCUAGAUAUAGCUAAGAAUCUAUCCUAAGACGGUUCAUCCAACGCUCACCAAUUAAUCAAAGUGGGAUCGUGCUCCCGAAUUACCAGCAAAGAAAAAUCUGUUCGUGGGUUAUUUUUCAUCAAGUUUGGUUUAUUUAAAUCAUAGUCCUCCCACUUUAUAGUAAUUAUAAUUAAACCCUUGGUCCAGGGACUUGUACCCAAUUACUCUUAAUUCCAAAUUAAAAUUUGCAUAAAAUAUAAAAGAGGGGGGGUUUACACCCCUACCCGUAGAUAAAUCAGAUUUGGGCCGAGGCCUGGUAUAAGGCUCGAUGGGCUGGGAUAGAACAAAGCUACAGAGAUAAAUCUAAAAAGGCCCUUUGGGGUGGUAAGGCCUAGUGCCAAGAUCAGAGAAGGAUUGACUUUGUUUGUUUGAAGUAGUCUUGGAAGUUGUAGCGCGCAGCUAAAAGCAACUCAAUCCUUCAAAAACCAUAAUGACACUUCGUUUGUAGAGCUAGAAGACCAUUUCCUGUAGCAACCAAGAAAAAGAGUGCAACCAUCCAUGGCAGCCCCAAGCGGAGAGAAGAUGAAGAACAUUAAGAUUGAGCCUGAGGAGGAGGCUCCAGAGGUAAUGGUCAUGUCUGUAGGUGAGACUUUGUGCAAGGAACAUUGGAAAAAAGUAGUGGAGCUAGUGCAGGAGAGUAAGAGAGAUUGCGCUGCAUGUAAGGCUUGUAAAGGGGUGGAGAGGUCGAUUCCUCAUGUGAAGAAAGAGAUCAAAUUGGAGGAGAUCGCUGGGUCAUCAUCCAAGGUGAAGGAGGAGCCAAGGGAGCUGGUUUUUCCUAAGGUGGAGCCUAAGGAAGAACUAGUUAUUCCUGAAACUGAUUCUAUGAUUGGAGAGCCAUAAAUCCCUCCAAUACCUGCUGAACAGGAGGAUGAGCAUGAUCUUGAUGCGCCUUUGUUUGGUGGAGAUGUUGAAGUUGCAGGUGAGCAAACCCUAAUCUGCAAAACCAAGAAUUGAAAUCAAUUUCUUAAUUCUGUUUAUCCAGGGAAUAGUUGAUGAUGAAUUAAUUUAUUCUUCCGUGAAUGGCAGAUGAUGCUGAUGAUGUUGCUAAAGAUGAGGAUGAGAUGGAGGCAGAUGAUGAGAUGGAGGACUCUUCCGAAUUUUCCUCUUCUACCACCACUGGAGGAGAUAAUGAUGAAAUGGAUAUGGAUGGGCUUGAUUCAGAGGAGGAGUACAUGACUCCUUCUGAUGAUGAGUGGGAGGUGGAAGAGUAGGAGUAUGAGCCCACUGAUUCCAAUGCAGAAGAAGACUGAAAAUCAGGCAAGAAAAUUACUUAGUUAAGAAUGUAGACUAUUAUCAAUCAAGAUUAUCAAACAAUGAUUUGUAUGUAAAUUGAAUUGAAAAUCUUGAUCUUAGAUGAAUGUUAUCUAUUUACUUAAAUCUAUUGUCUAUUUACUUGUCAAAUUUUUUUAUUGUUCCCGAUCCAUGGAAGGGGUUGAAUGCCCAUAUAUUUUCUCCACAUAAAAUUUGCUUGAGUUCUGAAUGAGAGGAGACAAAUGUAGCUUCAUCAGCUUUAAAGUGCAAUCCCAUGCUUGCAAGAAAAUCUGCAACCCUGUUACCUUCCAUGUAGGUGUGAUGGACUUGUAUAUUGAGAGAUGUAGCCAAGUCCCAGAUUUUAUUUCACCAAAUACUUAGGUGCCAAGGGACUGAUAUAGACUUGAUGAACCAUUUGCCUGAUUAACUUAGUAAUUUAGUAUGAAGUAUAGAUUUUGUGUUACGUUAUUUGUAUUAUGUGUUUUUUUGAGUUUCGCAUUGUGUAUGGGAACUCUGUAGGACAACCAUGGGAGCGCAUCAACCUUCCUCGUCCGAUGAUAGUUGUUUUGUUGAAGAUGUUGAUUACUAUGAUCGUGUUUAUAGUGCACUUGAUCGUUCUAUGUGCUACAAACUUUUUAAUAAAUUUGAUGGUCCGUAUAAUGUUGAAGAACUAACAGUCUCGUUAGAUGAAGCGAAAGUGAAGGUCACAAAAGAAGUGGACAAUGUGUGUUCCCUGAGCAUCCAGAUUCAAUAGAUAGCAGUAGUGUCUGUGUUAUGCACGGCUUGGGAAGUUGAAUAGAGAUAUAGAAUAAUUUGAAUAGAUAUUACGAUCGAUUGACAUUUGUUUGUAUAACGUUGAAUUUGUGUAGAGAUUAUGAUCGCUUUGGAAGAUAUCCAAUAUGUUAAAGCAUGCAAUGUUUAAAUAAGCAAAACCAAACAGUACAUAGUAAAAUUAAAAAACAAAAAUGAAAUUAAGAGUGUAAAAUGCCUAAAGAAUAAAUGAUCGGCUUAAUUUAUUAGCAAAAGAAUCAAUGUUUAGCUUCUCUUUCAUAAGCCAGUGUCGUGUGAGAAAGCACAUACAGUAUUGACAAAUAAAAAAUUAACGUAGCAAACAUGAUUAUCAAUCAUCUGCAUUGAGUCGAAAAAGAAUUAAUGUUUUGCUUCUCUUUCAUAAGCCAGUGUCGUGUGAGAAAGCACGUACAAUAUUGACAAAUAAAAAAUUAAUGUAGCAACAGGAUUAUCAAUCAUCUGCAUUGAGUAAUGAUGAAAGGCUUCAUGAGUAGAUAAGAAUGGACAAAAAAAAACAAAAAAUAAAACACAAAGCUAAAACAUAAAGAACAACAUUGGAAUACUCUGUGAUGAAUUAUUUUUGUACAAAUAAUAUUGCGUAUCAUACAUAUGGUUUGAAAAGGUUGUGUACAUACUUUGUUAAAAAAGUUGUGUAUCAUAUAUAUCAUUAGGUUGUACAUAUCCAAUGUUUGAGCAGCAGUAAGACACACUGCGCUUUCUCUUCGAAAAACUCUUUCUUCUUGAAGGGUUUAGUUGUGUGACGCCGACUCAUUAUAUCCAUUUCCUUUUCAAAUGCAGUAUGUAGAUCAUCUUCUACUCAAUCUCUCAUACACAACUAUUGACAGUCAUUAGAGUUGUUCUUUGUCUCAAAUACUACUAAGAAAAGAAGGAAAUUGACAUCAUAAAUAUUUAAUUAACAUUAAGUUAUAAGUCAAACCAAAAACCAAAAACCAAAAUUAAAUUAAAGUAAAUUUAGAAUUAAAAACAAUAAUGAAUGAGGUGAAGUUUUCAUAAUUAAUUUGAUUCGAACCUCCUGCCCAACUUUAAGUUGAAGUCGCUAGUGAGAAGUGUGGGUUAACCUCUCUAACCACAUAUACCAUCUCUGCCAAUAUAUACUUCUCUAGCUGCUCUAUAUUCUCAUAAAUAUGUUCUUUUUAAGCAUUGAACUCUCGUCCACUUUUAAUGUAUUUGACCAACAUUGCGUAUAUGGCACCCAAUGUGCAAAAUGUUGCCUAAUCGUGGUAGAAAAAAGACGGUUUAGCAGUAUGACUAAUCAUAUCAAAUUAUUCUGGCAUAUCUUAAUAUAUUUAGAAGUUGAAUAAGCAUAUUGCUGAAUCCAAAACUCCAUAUAACUUGGAAGAGCCUAAAGAAGUAAAUCAGAUUAGAAUACAAAUUCAUAUUGUGAACUAAAUCAGGUGAUGUUAGAUGGAGUUCUUUUCUGAGUAAAUAAGUGGAUCUCAUUGUGCACUUGAACAUGAUUCUGCGAAGAAUGUUCUACUCUAGGUCUUCAAUUGAAUGGCCAAGCCAAAAUAAAGCAAGAAAAGAAUCAAUUAACGAUCCAUGUAACAGGUAGUAAACAUCCUUUUGCACAAUAAACAUUAUUCUUUGUUGCAAAUUUUUUGUGAUUUCUACCUACAUAUUUGAUUUUAACAUAUAUUAAAAGAGUGAGAUGGUAAGUAUAAUCUCUGCUACAGAUUACAAUUUUUGGGUUUGAGCUUUCGAUUUCCAGCUCAAUCUACCAAACAUGUUACUAUGUACAUGUACUCCCUAUUAAAAUACCUGUAAGGAACAAUUAUUUUUAUUGUAAACAAAUAGUCUAAUUAUGAUGUAAAAUAAUAGUUUAAUUAUGAUGGAUACUUUGAUUUCAAUUAGUGGUUGAUAUCUUCAUCAAUAACUUUUUUACUUCUGAUGUUUUUUUUUUUUAUUAGAUAAGCGCUCUAUUCUCUUUGUAGUAGAAAGGUUUUUCUUUGCGUGUGGUUCUUGUAAGUAAGCAACUUAAAUCUUUUUCCAUACCGACAAUUCUCAAACAAAAACGAAUUCUUAUAGAUUAGCACUACCAAAAUUGUCUAAUCUCAUUGAUCUUUAUGAACAGAAAAACAAACAAAGAUGGCAUUUAUACAGAAGUUGCUCACCUUGCAUGUUAUUAGUCUAUAAGUUCCACAUGUUGGUGUUUCGUCAAUCAAUUCAACUGUUCUUACUUUGGGGGGAUUGAAAAAUUAAUAAUAGCUCUCUCAAAUUGGAUCUGCCAUCUUCAACUUCCAUUGAAUUCCUACAUACGAAGCAAUAACAACUAAUUAGGAAGCAAAAUAGCACAAUGGUCUAUGAGAUAAGAAGAGAGAUUCUCAAAUUCUCAUCUAUAUAUUUGGUAUACAACUAUUGAACACCAUCACCAAAAUAACUGAUAUUUCACUUAAUACCUCCUAUUUGAAAAAAAAAAAACCCUCCUAUUUUUAGCAGCCAAUAUAAUUCGGAAGAAUAAGAUUAAUACAAAUUAGGUCAACUUCUUCUUUUACCAGAUUUACUUUAGUCAUGUUGAAUCUACACUGAAAAGAGUUGGAUUCAGUGAUAUCAAGGAAGCUAUGGUUAGGCCCUAAGAUAAAGCCAAUUUAAGAAAACAACCACAAACAACACAUGAUUAGGGCCUAAGAAAAACUAUGGUUAAUGGCUAUGGUCGUUUUGCCUAAGACAUAUAUAAGCGAAAAUAAAUAACUACUCUGGUUUUCAAAUCUGAUCGAUUCAUUUCAUUUAAAUUCUAUGUCAUACUGUAAAAGCUCCUAUUAUAAUUUUAGAGUGACAAACUAAAUUAAUAAUGAAUAAAAGAAUUUGUUUGCAGACCAUAUUGAUCUAGAAAAUAAAUCAAUCCAACAACACGUCAGGUGUUCAAUGGUAACAAAAUCUGUUGCAUGAAUAAAACCUAGAUGCUCCCCUAAUUGUAAGAAACCGACUGAAAACAUCAAUCCUAUGGAAGAGAAGAUUAACUUGUGCAUAAAAUGCUUUGACAUACCUCGGUAUAUGAAAUUAUCCAUAGUUGUCACCACUCAUUGUAGCAAUCCUUCUCAUUGCAAUAUCACAACUUAACAUUCUACCUCAUAGUCUCAUAGAUACACUUGAUUCCCGUGCCUUUAGCUGCCAUUCGAAGGGAAACAUAUCAAUUAAAAAAAAUGAAUUUGAAACAUAGGAGACAAACAAUGCAAUGACAAAUAUAUUAUCGAGAAAAUUCCAAAGGUCCUUUAAACAUAUAAAAUAAAAUAUUAUUGGCAUGUUUUAUGUCAGACAUUAAUUACUAAGAAAUAACGGUUUACCCUUGCAUUUUUUGACUAAUGUAAGCCUAUGAGGUUGAUAACUAUCAAAAAAUAUUUUUAAGAGAUAAUGCAAGCCACCAAGUUCGUAAAAAAUCUUUGUACUCAAAUCUUUGUCGCCAUUAAUUUUUUUUCCUAGUGUGAGAUGGUGAUCGGAGGGAAGGGAGCAAUUUUUUUUUUCUUAAUAAUUCCUAAAGCACAAUUGUAGUUUGAUAUUGUAAAUCGGCUUAUAUAUUCAGAACGUUUAUUCCGACAUCUCAGAACAUGUCACUGAUGUCAGUAGAUUAUAACUAAAUGUCAGUUGUUCCUAAUGUCAGAACACUAUCCAAUUCAGAUUCAAUACUAACGGGAAGUUAGUGAUAUGAUACUGAUUUUUCUAUGGAUUCUUUAAUUUAAUGUACACGGUACAGUAAUAGGAUUGAACCAACUUUUCGUUGAAUUAUAGAAAUAUCAAAUAACUUACCUUCUAUGGAUUUUUCUCAACCGCAACCGUCAGAAGGUCAUUCACUUGUCUGCUAGACGAAAUUUCCAAUCAAAAGGUGGAUUCUUGUUGUGAAAUAUAAUGGACUUCAUACUUUUAAAACAACAAUUACAUAUCAUUCACAAAAGUAAUGAUUUUUAACCAUCAAGAUCUGUAGUUAACACUACAUAAAACAGAUAAAGAAAAACUUAAAAUAUGAAAUUAUAAAAAAAUUCAUUUGACAUGUAUGUUUUAUAUGCCUAACACAAAUCUUUUUCAUUGUCAAUAUAAUUUUUUUUUCUAUUAAUAAAAUUUUAGCGGUCAGUUCCCCUCGGCCAGCCUACAAUUCAAAACCGAGACCAACAAACAUGAUGACAAACCAAAUUUUGUCUGCAAAUCUAAUCAGACCAUAAUUUUGAGGGGUGUAUACGCAAACAUUAAUUGCGACAAAUGAUCAAAUUCCUUGUACCCUAAUUUGGUUAAAACUUGAAUGACCUUUUGGCUGAAAGAAACAGAGAAAUCGUACAAAUAAGACAAUUAAACCAAGUAGAAAUAAGAAGAAAACCUGUUUUAAUUGAAGUGAAGAACAAUUUCAUCACAAACUUGGAUACAUUGAUUGUGGAGUUCUUCUUAACCUACCUCUGAUCUAAGAAUGGAUGGUCAUAUAGGCUCAAAAUAUAUUGAUUCAUUGAGAAAACAAUGAUGCAUUAUUACAAUUACACAAAAAAAUAUGCAUCCAAGUCUAAACAGCAUCUCAAACUCCGUUCACGGCGAACAACAGUAACAUGUUGAUCCAUUACUUAAAUCAAUAUUAGUUCUACUUCAGAAGUGCAGCAAGAUAUUGACAAACAUAUUAGUUUAAUCAAUAUAAAUUUUAUUUACAGAGAUCCAUAUUGGUCUAAGAUAAAGAUCUAUUUAAUAAAUUCAAUCCUUUCUUUUAACGGAAAUUUGGAAACAAAAUAAUUCCAAAACAAUACAAAAUAAAGAUAUUAUAGAUACCUCAUUUAGGUUAGGCGUCUGAAGCCCGAAGGUGGAGAUUGUCUUUUGGUAACGAAGGUUUAAUAAGAUUGAGAAAGUUAGUAGAGACUAUCCUUUAUUGGUAUGUGGAUGUGGAUUAUUAAUUAAGAUCAAACAACCCAAUGCAUAAUGAUGAACCACUACUAUUUGCAAUAGAUCCGGACAAACCUUUGCAAGAAUGGAAAAAACUCAUAUCAAAAUAUUUUGCAAAAAUCUAAUAAUUAGACAUACUGAUCGAUUGAAAUUUCAACAACAAAAAUUUUUGAAGUAAGGAAAACAUUAAAGCGGAAUUGAGAAAUCUGCACCAAAAUAGGCAAAAAAAAUGAAAACAAAUAAAUAUAAAGUAAUUGAUACUAUGAAUGGGGGAAGAAAUGGAAGAAGGGUGUAUGUCUAAUUGAUACUAACCUCUGUAUUAAUGGGGGAAUAAAUGGAAGAAGGGUGUAUGUCAUGUGUCAUAUGUAAUGUGUGAGUCUUUUCGGUAUUCUAAUUCAACUCUAUCUACCACAUAUUAAAACGAUAAAUCAAACAAUAUACAAACAUUAAAAUCACAAAGUUAUGCAUUAGCUAACCUGACUGAAGACCACACAAAGUGCAUAUUCUCAAUCCCCAAGUGUUAACAAAAGAAAGGAACUCGGAAAAAAAAUUAGUAAUUGAGCCAAGAGGAUAAUAGUCUUGUACUUGUAUAUUAUACUUUUCUUCUUAUUCAAGCUUUUUUGUUUUCAUGCUCAAUAGUAACGGAGUGCAGGUGCUAACAACAAACCUGAUAAAUAAUUUUAUUGAAGACAUCCAGUGUUCUUUUAUAUUGAAAGCAGUCAGAAGAUCACAUUGUCAUGACACCAAAAUAUCCACUACGCGAGCAUAAUGGAGAACAUCUCAAAUUAGAAAAAUCUGCGAAAAAAAAGGCUUAAGAUAUUAACCGGAUAUAUAAAGUGUAUGAAAAAAAUUAGAAGCUUUAAUAAGAUCUUCCCAUGUAUAACAAUCACAAUGCCAGCAUCUGUGUUAAUCUACAUAUAUGUUCAAAUCAGAUAGCUAAUUCAUUAGUUACAAAGGCUAGUGUUAAGACUUGUGGUGCAGGACACCAUGAGAAUUGUUUUGUACAUAGAAUCGUAGGCAAAAUUGACAUGAGCUGACUACUUUCCUUUUGCUUCAUUAUUUCCAAAUCCCUCAUUAAAUUUAAUUGUCAAACAAACUCUUUGAAAGGAAGAUACAAAAAUGUCAGAAACAUAUUGUAUUUGACAUCAUAUUAGUAAUAUGAUGUGAGAAUGGUGAAUUAGGAGCUACAACAGCUUGUGCUUGCAAACUUGUUUACAAAACAAAGGUGGGGAAAAAAAAUUAACUAAAAAAGAAAAACAUGGUAUUAAAAACGAUAAUCAAACAACAAAUGAUGGCAGUUUGAAUACCUUGGCAAGGUCAAGGGGAUUGACAAAAAUCGCAGGAAAGAAUGCUGCACCAGCAAAAAAAAUCAGAUUCCGUAAGUGAUUUUUUUUUUUUUUUUUUUUGGAAAAUCACUUUAUUAAUAAGCUCAAAGAAUCACAUUACUUAAUUUUUUUGAUAAAAGUAUUCGAACAGAUCAAAUCUGCAUCAAUUUCUUUAGAAUUUUAAAAACCAAGGCAUACAAAAUGGGGAAAAAACCUUACCGCAAAGAAAUUAAAUAGAUCAAGUGAACAAUAUAAAUCAAUUUCUGUAAUUGUUGCAAUUCUUCUAUAUUAAGUCCUUGGAGUUCUUCUCCCCUCAUAUUCCUACAUAAAAACCAAAAUACUACAAAUCAAUAUUCAAAUGCAUGCAUUUAAUUUGAAAGCUUACUAUUAGCAAGCACUCUAUGUACCUCAAUUGAUGGCUUCUCUCAAUGACUUCCUUGCUCAGCCUGGCAUAAUUGCCAUUCUCAAGCUGAAAUGCUCACCAAAAUAUCACAAAUCAAUUUUCUUGGACAGUCAUAUGUAAUGUACAACAGCUCAAGUAAUAUGUGGAGGAGCAUAAUCAAUGAUAGAAGAUGGAAAAUAUUAGUUUCACACAUGGAGUUUCGAAAUUGAGUGCCUAUGAUGGAAAAAGUGUCAAUGCAAGAACUGUUUCUUAACUGAAAGAAAGAGGUGGUAUGUAUGCUCUCAAUAAAAAGACAAAUAUUGAAAAAAAUCUGCAGGUUAUACACGUUCCUAUCGAAGCAUUAACUAAAACCUGUGUUAACUGAAAAUGGAUAAAAACGCACUUCUGGCUGACAUGGUUCCCAUUCUGGUCACGCACACACCUCAUGAUAUGACCAUCAAGCUUUGUAACCAUUUCAGUCUGCUGAUCCAAAUCGACAACUUCUAUUGCCUGCGUCAUCGAAUUCAUUUUUUUUAGUCCAAACUACAAAGUUAUAACACUAUGUACGGAUAUAACGACCAGCAAGGAAAACAAUUGUGGACAAAUUUCAAAAUUGCCUUUUCGAGGAUUUCAAUUUCAAAUCCAACAAAAUGAAUUCUACUCAAAAUCAUAAACAUCCAAAUAUUUAUUAACCAAUUCAGCAAUGAAAAUUAUAACUUUGAAAUGUUAGAUUUUCAAAGUUUUCUAUCUCUCUUAAUCAAACUUUCGAUUUUCAAUUAAAACACAUAUAACAAAUCAAAUCAAUAAAAUUAAUUUAACGUAACAAAACAAAUGAAAAUCGGAUAAAAUAAAAAAAAUACAAUAAAAAAAAUAAAUAAUAAUAAUAAUAAUAAUAAUAAUAAUAAUAAUAAUAAUAAUAAUAAUAAUAAUAAUUCUCCUUUUUAUAAUAAAGCACAGCCCCCACGGGCAAAAAAUUCUCAACAGAUAGCACAGAAUCCUCUAGCCACGUCAACAAAAUUAGAGUAGAUUUACAGAUUCAACAAAAAGAUAGCACAGAAUUCUCUUCUUUACCAAUCGUUGCUAUCUUUUUGUUAAGUGUAUCCAAACGCCGAAUUUCUCUCUACUUCGUAACUAUCGGAGCAAAUCUUCACUAACCGGCAUGUGUUACCAGUCAUGUUUUAACGAAAAGACACAUAAUGAUUCGUCGCUAUUUUGUGAAGUUAUAAAAGGAAUUAACAGCAAUGGAAUUCGUCACUUUCCUUUUUUGCUUCUCCUCUUCAAACCGAUCUGCAUGUGCCUCUGCUGCCAAAAGACAAACAAAUAAUUUUGGGAAGGUUAGAUUCUCAAUUCUUUCUAUUUUUCUCUUCUUUCGUAUGUGAAUUUUUAGUAGAUAUAUGGAGUAAAUAUUCUUCCUUUUUAUGUUCCAAAAUUACAGCAAUCAUUGAUUGAUUUAUACAUAGAGAUGUUUCCUUACUGGCUUGAUUCACUACAAUUUGGGUUCAUUCUAAUUUUGUUGCUAUUUAUACUAACAAAAUAUUACAUCAAUUAUUUUCUAUUCAGUACAAAUCCGUGCUUGCCUUUCUAAUUCUUGGUUUCCUUAUUGGCAUGAUUCACAUUCACUACAUUUUGAAUUACUUAUAGUUUUGGUUCGCUUUAUACUAAGAGAAGAUUGAAUAAUUUUGUAUUCAUUACAAAUUACAUGCUUGCAUCUGUUUUCUAAUUUUUUUUUUUACCUAAAUGAAUAUGUUUCAAUGGGCAUGAUUGUUUUUCCAUUUGGAUUUUAAAUCAUCCUUAUUCAGGAUUUGGGAACUCAUUUUUGGUAUUUUUAAUUUUUGAAAACUAGAUGUUAUUAUCUAAAAAUUACAGUAAUGCUAAUAUCCACCAUACAAAUUUUUAUUUCAAUUUUCAAUGCCUUUGAUAAACUGUUUCGAUAAAAUUCUGUUAUUGCAGACAGGUGUCAAUAGAAAAUGGCCUGCACCGACUAUCACUACCUAUCUGAAAUCAAUGAUAGUUCGGAGCGAUGGAAGGUUAAAGUCCGUAUUUCAAAAAAAUGGAAUGUUAUUGACUUUGAGAGUCAGGAAGACACCUUGCAAAUUGAUAUGGUUCUUCUGGACGAGAAAGUAAGCAGUUCUCAUAAAAGUACAACUGCGACGUAAUGUUAUAGGGGAAUCAGGUAUUAACUAUAUUUUAAUUCUUGCAGGGGGAUCAGGUGCACGCUACCAUUCCCAAGAGACAGAUAAUGAAGUUCUCUACCAUUCUACACGAGGGGGAUGUUUAUUUUCUGCAUAAAUUCGACGUGUCUCCAGUAAAGAGCAAUUAUCGUCCUGUUUGUCAUCCGUAUAGGGUCUUUCUGAAGUGGGACACAAUGAUUAAACCGGAAACUAACAUACACCCACUUUCCCAAAAUUUAAGUUCGAUUUUAUUGAAUAUGGUGAUAUUAAGCUAAGGCUCAAAGACAAAACCUAUUUGACAGGUGAGGAUUGAUAUUGUUUAUGCCUUUAAAUUAUUUUACAUAUUUAUCAUAUCUAAAAUGUUAAACAAUACUUAAGUUUACCAUCGUUUCAAUAUAGAUGUGUAUGGACAACUAACAAGGUUUACGAAUGUCAAAAAUGUGGAAUCUGGAACACUCCAAGAGAUUUUUCAAGAUAAAAGGUAUUUGGUAGUCAAAUAUGUAUAAUGUUUAGAAGCAGAUAUGUGCUACUCGCAAAUAUACUGUUUUGCAAAAAAAAAAAAAAAAAAAAAGAAUAAAGAAAAAAAAAUUACUAUUUCUAUUAUUAUACAAUAGAGUGAUAGUUUUGUUUCACACAUAUGUGUAGUGGAAGUAACUUGAAAGUUACACUGUAGGGACGUGCGAUAGAACAAUUUCCAGAUAAUAUAGUCAACUCAUCCACAAGCUGCCCAGUGGUGGUAGUUACAUCAUUAACAGUGAAGCUCUUUGACGGUAAAUUCAAUUAGUUUGUGGAAUUUAUUUAACACUGCAUAUGCAUCAAUCAAACCCUAUUAAAUCUUGGUUAUCUCACUUUCUUUUGUCCUAGGGGAAUAUUCGGUCUCAUCAACUACUGCUACAAAGCUAUAUGUUAAUCUUGAUAUUUCUGAAGUUGCUUCUUUGCCCAUGGACAGGUUCAAAAUAUGUUUCCAUCAAAGUUUUACAUGUGACUUUUAAUAUGGCUUAAAUCUGAGAAGUUUAUAUCGAUUAAUUUAUAUAACUUUGCAGUAAUGAAGAAAACACAGUCCAACUGAUCGAUGCAUCGUCAACAGCUAUCACUCUAGAGGAAAGGAUGGUCAACAAUAGGAAAAAAUUGGUUGAGAUUGUGCAAGCAGUACCAUAUACAUCCAUUGUGAGUUUGCUAUUGUGUUUUUCAAAAAAAUAUAGAAAUAAAAAUUAAUAAAACUAAUGCUAAGAGAUUAUGAAAUAUGGUUCUCAUUUAAAUGCAGGGAGAAAAGAUUACUUUCAGGGCUACCAUUUCUGAGAUUAUAUAUGAUUUCGAGCCUUUUUAUUUCUCUUGCACUAGCAAUGAUUGUCGUAAGAAAGUUGUUUAGAGACGUAUCAAGAAGCAUUGGUGUAACAACUGUACGGACUUUAUCGAUUAUCCAGUUGCAAGGUAAUGUUUUUUUUUAUUCUCGGUACCCAUAAGUAAGAUUAAUGAAGCUAAUGAAGCCUUUUUUAAAAUAUAAAAAAAAAAUCAAUUUUUCUGACAGGUACAAAAUAAUUGUUCGGGUUCGAGAUCACACAUAUUCAUCCUUGAUAUCUAUAUUUGAUGGAGAGGUUGAACGUUUGUUGAAGCGGCCAGUUACAGAAAUGGUGGACUUAAAUGCAAUGGUAUAAAAUGUUCUUUCCGUUUUCUUAUAAAAUGAAUGUGGUCUAUAGAAUCUAAUAUGAAAAUUUUACAGGGCAAUGGUGCGGAAGCUGUGAAGGAUAUAUUGGAGAAGCUUGUUGGUUUAGAAUUUAUUUUUGAAAUAAAAAUUAGUGACUUCAAUAGGCGUGAUGAUAGUGAGGUUCCCUCAUUUACAACAUCGAAAGUUUUAACCGUAGAUCAAGAAAUAGAGUCCAAGCAUUUCCCAAAACAGAUUGAGGUACAUCUCUAUAUGUUAGAUGCAUUAUUUACAUAUGUUCUUGAUCAAAUACCCUGACAGUUAGUUAAUUAUAUAUGUAGGUUGACAACAAAAUGAAAACGGUUGCAAAAAACAUUGCAGACCAGAAAAUGAAAAGGGUUGUAGAAGACACAACAGAUUAUGUAUGUUCAAGUCAGAGCAAUGUUGUCCAAGAUGUUCACAAUAUGGUAAAUAUCCAAGUUUUAUUAUAUAUAUUAUCUUCAGUUCACUCAAAGGGUACUAAAGUCAAAAUCUCAAGUGCAUGUAAUGUUUCGGUGUUCUCAUACUAACAAUACAUUCUGUACAUCUAUUAUAGGGAACCUCCCCAUCAAUAAAUGAAGUUCAUUUAGAAGAAGUGGAUGAUGUAGGUGUGACUUCUAGCCUUGCUAAGGGUAAAAGAAGUCGCAGGAAAUUGUGACGAUGUUGGUAGCGGAUGAGCAAGACCUCGACUUUAAAGAUCGCGUGGAAACAAUGAAAGACCGAUACUUAUUUUAUUAAUAUUAUAUUGUACUAUUUUUUUUAAUGACUAAUGGUUGAAUUUUAAAUGUGCUUACAGAGAUUAUAGAUCUCAUAUGCUUUGUGUAGUGUAAUUACUAAUGGCUGAAUUGUACAAGUUCCUGUUAGUCAUUACUCAACUCACCGGAUCCAUACUGCACAAACUCUGCUGGUAGUUUAUAAUGGACGGAGCUGCACCCACCAAAAUCUCACGUGUUUCGUCGUAAUUUUAUUGACGCUGCUAAAAAAGAUUGUGGAAUGGCUAAAGGGAAUUUUGAAUCUUAUUAUUUUUUUUCACUACAUUAAAAAAUUGUAAACAUAGUUUUUCAUUGUACAAAAUACAAGUGUUGGAUGUUAAUAUCCAUUUUGUUAAUAAAUUUAAAUUUUCCAUAAAUUGUGUCGGGUUUUAGUAUUUAUUUAUAUGAUUAACAUUUUGGAAUUUAGUUCUUCAUAAAUACUUUCUUUAUCUCUCUCAAUGUGGACGUACAGCUUCGACUGUCAGACUCCAUGUGUGUGGCUGAUUGUUUUUCUUUGGCUUUUUGGCAUAUUAUUUUUCAAACUCCUGUUAACACCAGAUAUCCAUUGUUCUAUGUGCUUUAAAAAAAAUAACAAAUAAAAAUAAAUAUACCUCAUUGUUUUUGAAAUUUGAUAAAGAAUGACUAUAACCACUCAUGACACUGCUUCUCUUAGAGAAAGGAGAUAGUUUGUUUUAGUGCAUAGAAAACCAUUAAUAAGUUGGGACUGACCAUAGUAACAGGUCCGAUAAAACAAGCUUAAACCAUUAUUAACAUGUAGCAUCUUGCUGAAGUCUAGGUUGUUUAAAAUAAACUACAUGACCAUCAAAGGCUAAAGCAUAGAUCUUAGGUCAUAAUUAUUUCUUUUUAAAAAAUUAAAAAUUACAAAAUUAAAUUUCACGUAUCUAUUGACAAAAUUUUGUUUUUUUCAAUUUGAACAAGAAGAACUUAAAACAAAAAAUUUCACAUCAUGAUUAUUACUCUAUCAAAAUAUUCUUUCAAGCUUCCCGCUCAAAAGCUAGUAAUACUAAUAAAGUAGAAGAAAUGAAAAACCCGUUUCAGAAUCUGGUUGUUGCUCAACUCUUCCUAACUUCGUUUCCAAUUGUUGUCACAUGUAUUAACCAUAUUUGUGAGGUUGGUCAAUGCAUUAAUGAAAGAUGAUGAUGUGUAUGAUAUGAACAAUAAUAAAGUAGAGACGUGAACACCAUUGUAUACGUGGUUCGGCAAUUGUGCCUACAUCCACGGAGAGGGAGAAAGAAGUUUAUUAUAGUAGUGGUGGUGAUACAAAAUGGGAGCUCGAUUAUGAGGAGAGCUCAAGAGAGAUGAGACCUGAGAGGUGAGGUCUCAUCAUGAGAGAUUGGGGAGGUCGUUGAUCAUGAGACCUCACCAUGAGAACCUGUGAGAAGAUCAGAACAUGCCUAGAAUGAGUAGCUUGCCUUCAUAUUUAUAGGCUACAAUGUAACUCCAUUCUUAACAUUUACUAGGGUAAUAAUGAGAGAAUAUCUUUGUAGUAAUUGGCUUUGACUUUGUAACUUGUGCCAUCAAGAAAGAGUCCAUUAGAUGAUGACAUGUGGCACCAUGAUGUACGGUAGAGAUGGUGCCACAUGUAUGUUGUAUGUAGUACCCCUACAUAAGCCCCCUCUUUUUAGGUUGAACGAAGUUCGGGCUGAAAAGAAGUAAUCGAACCGAUCCAGCCCCCAAGAUGAAAUGUGGGGGUCUUUAACGAAGUCGAUCCGCCCCAAAUUUUGAUGAGCUUGAUCAUUGAGAUUUGCAGGACGCGAUGAAGGUCCCUUGUGGUAAUGGCAACUCGAUCAUAACUUUGUGUGUAGCGAGCUAGUUAGUUCCAGGGAGACCUGGUAGCUCGUUCAGAAGGCAUGUAGACGAGAUGGACAGCUGCAAGCAGGUCGUACUGAAGUGGGGUCUUCUUGUAUGCAUGGGUUGUUGGUCUCAGUCAUGCUUUAAGGUGGUCGCCUUUUUGUGGUCGAGUUGCAUAGACCUGAUAAUGUUAGCAUGUGAAACAUUAUAAAAUUCAAUAAAAGACUUACAUGGAAUUGUACGUCUUCCUUAUGACUUGUAUGUACUAUCUUUGUCGCAUUGUGACUGGACACUUCGAUAGAUAUGGCACUUUGGAGUGCAAUGUAGCUCGUUUGAGAAAGAGCAUUGGUUGACCAAGUGUUUUGAGAGUUACUUGGAACCUUUUGGUGCCCGAUCUAGUGAAUGGUCGCACCGUGGAGACCUGUUUGACAAUUCUCGGGCAUGUGGCCUUUGUGGGUCUGCAUUGCGUUGAGAGUGAAUGCGUUCGACCAGGCGUGUGGCUAGAGAAUUGUGUUUGAGGUCGUCCCGCAUACGAGUGACUCACUAGUCAAUGAGGGUGGCCGUAUUGUAUAUCAAGCAUUUCACUUGUAGAGAGUUCAGUGAAAGCAAUGUAGCACAUUUGUGCAAAAAUAGCUCAUGGGGAGUGAGGUCAUGUUCAUGUGACCUGCACACAGAGAGAGCUACAAAAAAUAUCAUUAAUAGCUAAUUGUGCUAAUAAUAAGUUAAUUUCAUUAGAUAAAGUGAGAAUAGCCCCCUGUAUGGCAUAAAUAUUCUUGAGGUCGUUGAAAGACCUGUAAUUUGAGGAGGUCGUUGAUAGACCUGGUGAGGUCGCGAUGAAGGACCUGGCAUGAAGGACCUGGUAUGAAGGACCUGAGAGGUCGUUGGCUUAGGGACUUGAGAGGUCUUUGGCUUAGAGACCUGAAUAAGAGGUCAGGUCGCGAUGAGACCAAAUAUGAGAUCGAAUAUGAUCUAAAAUGUAUUUACUUUACAUGCUUAUAAGCCAACAACGUUAAGAGAUUUGCAAACUCCAUGCUUCAUUUGUAUGGACAAUAAGAGAAUGAUUAUAUGUAACAUAUAACAAUGUGAGUAAACAAAUGUGAGUAAAGAAAUCAGGUCGCCACAUUUGCGAGCUGAAAAAACCUUCAGCACUUGAUGAUUGAUACAGCAUGAAUAAUAAAUGAGAAUUAAGCCAUAGUCAACAUCAUUAAAGUAGUUCAAUGUUGAAAAUAUAUGAUAAAAUUGAUUGUGGGAUACUGGUGGCCACAUGCUCAAUGGGUGGAAAAAAGAAAAAUCAAAUGUAAUGAGAAUGUUACUGAUAUGUCAUGGAUAAUAUUUGGCUUGUAAUAUGGAUGUACUGAUGUAUCACAUGAUUAGUCAUGAAUGACAGAAUGGCAUACGCGACAUAUAACAUAAAUGGCCAUAUAAUAACCCUAUGGGUAAGGAGUUAACAAUAAGCAGAGACAAUUGAGGUCGCUCUUUGGUAGCCCGUUGCCUCAUCUGAAUGACCAAAAAAAAAAAAAUAUGAAAGUGAUACUUAUCUUUGCUUCUGCCGAGCCCAGUAAUUGUGUAGACAAUUUGGUCCAAGCCCCCAACUAUGAGUUGCAAUUCUAUCUUUUCAAAUUCAAUGAAUUUCUUGAAAAUCACCAUCUGAGAACCUUAGAACAAUGGUGUUCGGUGGGGUUGGUGGGUGGAAUUCGCUUGAGAAAAUCCCAAGUCCCUGUAGUCGGCGCCAAAUGUAUUAACCAUAUUUGUGAGGUCGGUCAAUGCAUUAAUGAAAGAUGAUGAUGUGUAUGAUAUGAACAAUAAUAAAGUAGAGACGUGAACACCAUUGUAUACGUGGUUCGGCAAUUGUGCCUACAUCCACGGAGAGGGAGAAAGAAGUUUAUUAUAGUAGUGGUGGUGAUACAAAAUGGGAGCUCGAUUAUGAGGAGAGCUCAAGAGAGAUGAGACCUGAGAGGUGAGGUCUCAUCAUGAGAGAUUGAGGAGGUCGUUGAUCAUGAGACCUCACCAUGAGAACCUGUGAGAAGAUCAGAACAUGCCUAGAAUGAGUAGCUUGUCUUCAUAUUUAUAGGCUACAAUGUAACUCCAUUCUUAACAUUUACUAGGGUAAUAAUGAGAGAAUAUCUUUGUAGUAAUUGGCUUUAACUUUGUAACUUGUGCCAUCAAGAAAGAGUCCAUUAGAUGAUGACAUGUGGCACCAUGAUGUACGGUAGAGAUGGUGCCACAUGUAUGUUGUAUGUAGUACCAAGAGAGAGUAUUAUUUGGAAAUCAGAAAUAGGGUUUGGAAAUGAGAGAGAGAGAGAGAGAGAGAGAGAGAGAGAGAGAGGGCUAAUUUUGAGUACUUGUCUAUUGUAGAUGAAUUCAUUUGCUUUUCAACACAACUAUGCAAAACCCAAUCUCAAUUUUAAUUAAAAUAAAUAAGAAACCAAUCUCAGUUUAAAUGGAAUUGAAAAAAAUCUGCACCAAAAAAAAAAAAUCUAAAAUAAGAAAACCAAUCUCAGUUUAAAUGGAAUUUAAAUCAAAAAAUUUACAUGGUUUUGACUAAAUCAGUCAUGAAAUCAAAUUUAGAAUCUAUAAUCUAUCAAAUUACUUGGGUUUUAAUAAUUCAUGGAAAAAAUUGGAAAUCGCCUAAACACAACAAUUACCCAUUAAUUGAUUGAUACUUACUCACUUAUUGAAGCCGAAGAGAAUUGCACAAUUAAAAAUCAAAUUUUAAUGAAACAGGGUUUUAAGUUUUGUGAUUUCAUGAAACGGCCGGUAUAUGUAAAAUUUCAAGAAAAACGAACCUGUGGGUGGAAUAAAAAGAGGGAGAAGAAAUGUGAACUUACCAUUCCAAAUUCCAAAUUAAGUAGAAGAAGAGGGAGAAGGAGAGAGACAAAGUCUGUGGGUCAAAAAAAAAAAAAAAAAAGUCACCAACUUACUUCGAAUCUACCUGAAUCUAAAUUCCAAACAGAAUCCACCCAAUUUUGAACGCAGGAAGAAGAAAUCCUCUGAGGGAAGAAAAAAAAUAAAAAAAUAAAUUGUUUAAGAUUUGCCAAAUUCUUGGGAAAAUUGGCGAUAACCCCCCAUAUUUUGACCAGGUUUGGCAAAAACCCCUUAAUUGUGCCAUUUUUGGUGUAAACCCCCCAACCCCCUACUUCAGUAAAAUUUUAACCCAUUAUACCCUUGUUCAAAAAUUUUGCCUAAACCCCCUAAAAUUGACUCAACAGAAGAUAUUAAACGCAAGUUAACUUCCGUUAACAGAAUCUUGUUUGCCUAAACCCCCCUAGGCUUGAAAUCCUCCUCCUUUCUAAUUCCCUCAUUAACAUCACCCAAUAUCAACCUUCUUAGUUUAGCAAACACCAUUAAUUAAUCACUAUAUGAAAAGUGACUUUAUCAAAGGGAUAUCCAUUCUCCAAAAUUUUGUUAAACAAUUCCAUAAUAAAAUAAUCCAUCGAUAAUAUUGUUUAAAGGAAAAUCAUUUGACUCCAAAUCCAAGAUCUAUGCAACUUAAUUGACAAUAACAGUUAAUCAAAAUGCCAAAUUGACAAUAACAACUUAAUCUCAACUAAAACGAUGGAUUAGAACAAAGAAAAUACAUUAGAAUUAGUCUUUAACUUGGUAAUGGUGCCUAAAAGUUGAUUGAAAUGGAUAAUCUACGAAAUGAGUCGUGUUUAAAUAAAGUGAUUGAAUAAAACCAAAGCUUCAUUUAGCGUAAGUGUACCAAAUUUACAACAUUCUCUUACAAAUUUCUCUAUACAUAUUGAAGAAGAAGAAGUGAAGUGGGAUGGAUAAAAGAGAGAGUGAAACGGAAGUGGGAAAGAUAAAAGAGAGAGAAAUUUAUACAAACCUUUGCUACUAUUUCUCUUUCUUAUCAACAUCAUUUCACCAUUGUUGAUGAUUAGAACUUUCUUAAAUAGCAUAAGUAACCACAUGAUUCUCUUUUUUCUUCAAGAUUUGUUGGGUUUGAUGGAAGAUACAUGGAUCUGGGACAAACUAUACUUUUUUUUCUUUUAUGUUUUUCUUUAUUUUAGUGGGGUUAAGGCAAACAAGAUUUUGUUAACGGAAGUUUACUUGCGUUUAAUAACUUCUGUUAAGUCAAUUUUAGGGGGUUUAGGCAAAAUUUUUGAAUAGGGGUAUAAUGGGCUAAAAUUUUACUGAAGUAGGGGGUUGGGGGGUUUACGCCUAAAAUGGCACAAUUAAGGGGUUUUUGCCAAAUCUGAUCAAAAUGUGGAGGUUAUCACCAAUUUUCCCAAAAUUCUUUAAGAGAAGAGAACACAGAUGGCAACGAAGAAGACAGAUGGAAGAGGAAAGGAGACAGGUGGAAGAAAGCCCAGAAAAGAAAACUAACAGGGUGGGCCUGCACAAAGGUUAAAAGAGGAAUUGAGUAUAUAUGGGGGAUAAAAAAUUAAGAGAUUUUUGGACAUACCCCCAUUUGAAAGUCGAAAUUUGAGAUACCCAAAAAAAAAUUUGAGAUACCCCCAAUUCAAGAUGUGGUGUUAUCUUAGCCGUCUAUCAUAAUCCAUCUGUCGAAUUUGGGGUAUCUCAAAUUCUUUUUCAAAUGGGGUAUCUCGAAUUUCGACUUUCAAAUGGGGGUAUGUCCAAAAAUCUCAAAAAUUAAAAGAACAUUGGUUGAACGAACCAUGCCUUGAUUUCCAACCCUCUUCUAUAGAUAGGGAUUUCAAGUUUCAAUACUCAAGAAAUAAAGAAAAACCUCUUUGCUUCUUCAAUACUCCUAUCUAGAGUCUCUCUUUACUUCUACUAUAGCUCUUCAAAACUGUUAACUCUGCUACAACAAAAUCUUCAAGUACUCUUAUCUCCAUAAAGGUGUGUAGGUCUUCUUAUCACUUGUGAUUAUGUUGUUUUUGUCUUUUUUUAUGUGGUUAUUGGAAAUCGAUUGAAAUAAGCAAUGGGUUUUCCUUAAAAUUUCAUUUUCUAUGGUGAUUUAAGAGAUUUUUGCAUUUUAAGAUGAUGGGUAUCUUUGAUUUUGACUAAUUUUGGUCAAGGAAUGUUAUAAAUUAGUCUUUGUAAAAAUCUGUUGGGUGUUUGUUAUGGAAAAUUGAUGAUUCAAGGGGGUAAGAACUGAACAGAUAACAUAUUUUUGGAUUCAACAAGUUUCAAAGUUUUUAGCUGUAUGCAAUCAGCUCACAUGUUGAUGAAUUGAUAAGAAGUUAGGAUAAAAAUGUUUUGGAAAUAGAUUACAGAUUUGCAGUCUUCUUUCAGAAGUCAUUUCUGUCAGAAAGUCAUGUUUUAAAAGUCACACCAGCUCACAUGCUAAGAAGAAUAAUUUUGAUUGGUUAUUUGUGCAGCACACCCUACUUCUCUUUCUAAUUGACUAUAUACAUAAAAUUUACCUUCGCCAAUUUGUAAGAAGUGGAAAAAAAAGAAGAAGAAAAAGGACAAAGGUUAACAUAAUAAAAAACGAAUGGGAACCCAUUACUAUGAAUCAACCGGAGAAAUAAUAGGAUGUAUGAAACUCAAAUUCACAUACCACACACUUUUUUUAAUCAACCUAACACAGGACUAAAGCUUUCUAUUGUCAAACUUAGCAUUUCUGCAUUCAUUAGGAAAGAUUCAUGUAAUCUCAAAAACAAAGCCACUGUGGUGCUGAGACUUUUAAAAUCAUAAUUUCAAUUUAGAGGUAAGCAUUUUAAAAAGGGUUUCUAAGUGUUGUCGAUGAUCUAGGACCCAAGCAAAUUGUAAUCUCCCACACAACUGUUGAAAGUGAGAUAAAAGUGAGAAAACUAACCUAAUAUUUUCAAGUGAAAACGCUUGUAUAUCGGGCUCGUAGGAUCAACUUUGAAACCCAUGCCUUCAAACAUCUUUAACUGAAAUGAAGGAAUAAAACAUGAAAGAAACAAGGGUUAAUUGAAAUGCUCAUAAAAUGUAACAUAAAUAUAUAGCAGACUUGCAGUUCUAAAUGCUCUGUAUGAAACUAUGAAUUAACCAAAUUAUAAUGAGACUCACCUGUUCAAAAAAUCCAUCAUUAGGGCAAACAAACUCACAACUUUGUUGUAAAUUUGUAAUGAUUCAAGCGCAUCUGCAGAACAUGUUUGCAAAAACAUAAGAGUCAAUGACCAAUCAUAUAAUAAAGAUAUCUUGUCGCUACAAAAGUAGCGGAAGGAAAACAUAAAUGAAGUCCACAAAAAAUAAAAAGAAAAUGUUUCAACCUUCAUGCGAGAGUUGUUCAGUUCUCAUCAGAUAUGCUGUAAUGAUAGAUGCACUGCCAUAAACCAAUACAAACCGCUGUAAGUUCAGGUCAGGCUGAUAAUGUAGGAGAUCUAAGCAUAUAGACUAAAACACAAAACAGGAUGUAUAAAAUAAAAUUGUUUCUGUCUUCUACUUCACAAUAUUUAUCCAAGUAUUUUAUAGCUUUUAGGAACUACACAGUAAAGUGCGAACAAUCCUCAACAUGAAAGUACAGUACGUGUGAAGGUCUGGCUUGAUAAAUUACAGAACAUAAUGUAUGAAAUUAAAAUGCUUUUGUCAUCUACUAUCACAUUAUUUUCACUAUUGAAAGGGCGAAAUAGUCGUUAAUUAGAUCGCGCUUUUCAAAACCUUGCUUUGACUACCUAAAAAUGAGUAUAGCUUGAAAAAAGGGUUAUCGAAUCCAUGUCUAAGAGAGAACCAAGUUAAAUGAGAAAAAGAAAUUCAUUUUUUUUUACUAAUCUAGAGAAUAUUGGGAAAUUAAUUUUGCAAGGUAUUGGUGAUUAACUACUAAUAAAGUAAGAAAUAAUUAUAAGAAGAUAAAUAUGAUGAGAAUUUCGAGAGAUUGAAUCCACCAAUUCAAUUAUGUAAUAAUAUAUAGAUUUAUCAAGAUUAAUCCGUAGAUAGAUACUCAUUAUACACUAAGAUGAUUCAAAAUGCAUAAUGGAAAUGUAUGACUUUAAACACUUAUUCUAUCUACAUUAGAGCCUAUCAAUUCUGGAGAAUCAAUGAUACUUCCUAUCAUUAAAAUGUGAGGAAAGACUACAACACAUUGUACAACUAUUAUGUUGGUGGCAAGAAAGAGUACGUUCGUCUUUCAGACCGUCACUCAAUGUGUCCCCAAAUAGCUAUAGCAAAGUGUAUAUUCCACCUACUAAAAUAAAUUAAAGAACUAAGAAGAAAGUAAAUAAACACCGUUAUAUGCUUCAUUUCACAAGUAAAUCAUUGCAAUUACUUACCUCUAACCUUCUCUCGAAGCGCUAGAUCCUUGACCUCCAGCAUUACUCUAAUGGAUUAAAGCUUAAUAAAUAAUAUAUUAACUACUACAUAAAAUGAAAAGGCUUCAUCUCUCCCUUGAAAAAGGGAGAUUAGCCUAGCAUAAUACUAAACUAAAAUCUAUUAAAUAAAAUGACAUAAAAUAAAAGCUAACUAAACUAAAAAGAAGAAGAAGAAGAAUUUUUAUUAGAAUGAGUUUUGCUCUCAACUCUUGAUAAUCAAUACAAUGAAUAGAGCUCCCUAUUUAUAGAUCCAUAGGGAGCCUAAAAUGGGAAAAUUGCAAGAUAUUACAUGAUAUUUGAUUUGAUUGCUAAUCAAAUCAUUUGUGGAAGAAAAUGUCAAGAAUAAAAUCUUUGAAUGAUUGUGAUCAAAGAUUAAUGAAAAACAUGUGUUGAAAAUCAAAUCCUUGCCACCAUUGUUGCCAACUUUGUAUAAAACUGCCAUGUAUAGUGAUAUUCUAGAAGAUACUGGCAAUCUUUCUUGGAUGCUUGAGUUGUCACAAUAUUCUCCAUAUUUUACACAUGCUAGAAUCUUAAGUAUCAACCUUGAAGUGAUUCCAUGCUCCAUCUUCUGUUUAGUAGUCUCACUUCACUUAUCUUCUUAAUGGGCCUCUCUUGGACUUGAGCUUUGUAGAUAAUUUAUGGGCUCAUUUAGAUUUAAUCAACUAAGAUUCAUUCAAGGCUUUGACCAUUUGGAACAAUGACUUUAGGCUUCAUACUUGACUUUUCUCUUUUUGCUCUUUUUAUAUCAUUUUGUAGGCUUUUUCUUUGAUUUAUUCUUUUCUAGGUUCUUUUCUGCAAAAAUACAAAAACAAUAGAUAUUACUCUAAUUCAAGCCUAAAAUGAGUUCUAACAUCAUACUAAUUAGGGGUAUAAACUACGUUUUUGGAUGCUUAUCAACUAUCAAAGACAAUAAAAUUCAAUCAACACUUGGCUACUUGUACAACAAUUCUGAUUAGGAUUUCAUAGUUAUGAAAAUCAACUAUAAUCUAAAUCAAGAGAUUACGAAACCCUAAUUUACCCAAAAUGAGUAAACAAUUUAAACCAAUUAGACCCAAAGCACAAAUCAUUUCCCACAUAAAAUUCAAUUAAUCUAACAGCAAAAUUUAGCAUUAACCAUUAUUUAAAAAUUAAAAUAGAAGAAACAAAACAAUACCUUCUUGAAACACCUGCGAAACAAUGUACUAAAACAGAGCCUUGUUUUCUACUAUUAUCAAUAAAAUCCAAACAAACAUCCAAAUAAUCCAAUAAAUUUUCUCUUUCCAUAUCUCUUAAAGGAACACCCAUUCUUACUAACUUCAAAUCCUUUCCAGCAUAUUCGACCAAACACAUUAACUUCUUCUUCUUCUUCUUCUUCUUCUUCUUCUUAUCACUAUCACUUUCUUCUUUUUCGUAUCCUUAGGCAAGCAUGGAAAUUGGAAAAGUGAACAUUGGAUGUUGUGCCAUGGUGAUGGAAUUAUGUACAGUAUCAUAACUGAAUAUUCUUUUCUUCUUAUACUCUCAAAACCUCAAAGGGAUCUCAUACAAUAAUUGUUAACCAUAUCUAUUAGAUAUGUACCGACGACUUGUGUAGUUGUGCCACCUGUUGAUUAUGCCAAAAGCAGUUUCAAAGAGUCUGGAAACUCAUCUUUGUGAUUGUGAGCCAAUCAGUCACUCAUCACUCUUUUAUUUCAUCAAUAUUUUUACAAACUUUUAAUCUAGAUUAGAGAUUAAAAUUUAGAUAAUAGUACUAUCAUUCACAAUUCACUUAACAAAAAGCAUAAUUUAUAAUUUGUAGACUUGUAGUUAAUCACGAGAUAAAGAAAAAUUGUGAUAUUUUUUUUUUUAAUAGAUAAAAUGGUGAUCAUUGAAUUGAAUUGGAGAUUUGGAUUCAUGUUUUGAACUCUGGUCAAUGUUGUUGUUAGCAAAUGAGGUUGAGAGUGCCUACCCCUUUAAAUACACAUGAAUAUGAACACGUAUAUCAAACAAUCAGUUAUUGAUGUGUUUCCAACCUACUGUGCUCCGCAGAAUAUUUAAGUUUCACAUUCACUUUUUUUCAAAAUAUAUAAUAAAAAUUAAUAAUCACCUAUUGGUUUGCCCAAGAGUCAAGACCAUGAUGGGGCGAGGCACAAAACAAAAUAAAUAAAGAGAUAGAAGAAGUGAAUAUCUACAGAAUAAUGCUUUCACUCGACCCAUAUAUACUAACCAACCCUCUUCAACGGAAGCAACAUUAUUCAGGAUACCUCAUGGAAAUUUUAAAAGAAGAAGGGAUAAUUUAGUCAUUCUAUAAAUUUACACGACGAAAACGUUCGUUCGACAUCACCACCGUUCUUCCUCUUGGUUUCAUUUACAGCAGCAAAGCAACAGAGAAGUAGACAAGAUAAGAUAAGAUAUAAUUAACAAAGCAAUCUUGGCCGUCAGAUCUCUCAGUCAUAACUCCUCCUACCAUAAUAACCAGGGUUAGCACUAAUACUUCCUUCUAUUGUGUUUUUUUUCUGAUUUUUUCUGAUUUUUUUUAUUAUUAUUUUGGAUUUUUUUUUUUCAAAUAUUUUGGGUAAUAGUUAUGUUCUGUGACAUAUAAAUAUGAUUGAUUGGUUGAAUUUAUUGAAAUGGGGUUUGGGAUUUUUUUUUUGUUAUUAGUGUUGUGUAGAAAUUGUACCAUUGAAGAAUAAACUGUUACUGAUUACUUGCCAUAUGUGAUGUAGUCAUAUGUUGGUAUGAAUGGAGAACAUUGAUUAAGCACAUAUUGAAAUGUAAUUGAUUAAACUGUCCAUAAUGAAUUAGAAUGUAUUUUAAGUUAGCUGAAUCGUUUCGUACCUUGUUUCAUUUUCGAGUUAUAUGAGUUAUUAGGCAUGAUUUGACACAAAUUAUACUUGCAUUUCAUAUGACAUAUCACAUAUGGCAAUAGUAGUCAUUUUGAAGUACAUGAUCUCUAACAUCAGGUUAUUGUGAAAGCAAAGUACUAAUCUUGUCAACCUACAGAAUACAAUCAUCAACGACUCAUUUUUUUCUCACUGUAGUUUGAAUUUAACAUGUUAAUCUUCAUUAGUCAUGAGUUUAUUGACACAUGUUAAUCUUCAUUAACAUGGCACAUUUAUGCAAACCUCAUUCGACAUUGCAGUUUUCCACUUACAAGAACCUGUUUGUUGUUGUCUUUGAGACUUAUAUUUUAUGGGAUCCAUAACUUUGUUGAUGGAAGUAUUUUAACAAUAAAAUCUCUAAUCUUUGCAGUUCUUUUUUGACUUUUAUAUUUCCAGGUGUGGUAUACCUGUUUUUAGGGAAGAGCCAAGCCUUCGACAUGGCUCACUUACUGUCAACAUCUUGCUCUUUGAAAUUGAUAACCAGUAGCAAGUUUGACCUUAGACAUAUGAGUCAAUCUUCCACCUUUUAUCCUACUUCUCUUACUUUACAAACUUCCACAUUUCCAUCAAAGAGGUCACGCCAAAGAGGUCUUACUGUUUUUGCAACCGCACUAUCUCCAAGUCAAGGAAUUCAAAGUCAAAGCAGCUCUGGGUUUGAUCACAAAGACACUGAACCAUCAAGGCUAAAGAGAGUCAUGAUUAUAGGCGGAGAUGGAUAUUGUGGUUGGGCUACCGCUCUUCAUCUUUCCAAGCAAAAUUAUGAAGUUGCUAUUGUAGAUAAUCUUGUCCGACGACUUUUUGAUCAUCAACUUGGUCUUGAUUCACUAACACCAAUCUCUUCAAUCCACAAUCGUGUCCGACGAUGGAAAUCUCUGACAGGAAAAACUAUUGAGCUUUAUAUUGGUGACAUAUGUGAUUUUGAAUUUUUAUCUGAGACUUUCAAAUCUUUUGAGCCUGAUUCUGUUGUUCAUUUUGGUGAACAACGCUCGGCUCCUUACUCCAUGAUUGAUCGUACUAGAGCGGUGUUCACGCAGCAUAACAAUGUGAUUGGUACACUAAAUGUUCUGUUUGCUAUCAAGGAAUAUAGAGAGGAUUGCCAUUUAGUAAAGCUGGGAACAAUGGGCGAAUAUGGGACUCCCAACAUUGACAUUGAGGAAGGAUACAUUACAAUUAACCACAAUGGCAGAACAGAUACAUUGCCUUACCCAAAGCAAGGAAGCUCAUUUUACCACCUGAGUAAGGUCCAUGAUUCCAAUAAUAUAGCAUUUACUUGCAAGGCGUGGGGGAUUAGGGCUACUGAUCUGAACCAAGGAGUGGUGUACGGCGUGACGACGGAUGAGACUGAGAUGCAUGAAGAUCUCUGCAAUAGGUUUGACUAUGACGGAGUGUUUGGAACAGCAUUGAAUAGGUUUUGCGUCCAGGCCGCGGUUGGACACCCACUUACAGUGUAUGGCAAAGGGGGUCAGGUAAUGUUGCUUCCUCAAUAACAUCAUCAAGUCCAUGUUUGAAGACACACCCACCCGCACACACCUAUUUAAACAUUUAUUUCAAUUGUCUGAAUGGAGGCACAAAAAGUGUCCUAGUCUAUCUUACGUUUUUGUAAGGUUCACUUAGGAGAUAUAGGUGCCUGAUCAAAUGUUUGAACAACCUGCUUUCUGGACAUUUGAGGAGUCGUGAGGGAGGUCGAGGGAAAAGGAAACACCUGUUAGAUGGUCGUGAUAGUAUAUUUACGAUUAUCUAAAUCUAUAUCUCUUCCCUGAAUUUGUAUGUGACCUGCAUGUCACAUACGGUAAGAGGGCCCUUGAGCGACUCCUCAAACAAUGUCCAUCGUCCAGUAGUACAGAAACCCAACAGUCAGACCGUCAGAGAAACUUGUAUAAUUAUAUUUAUCCUGAGGCCUGACCCCAACUAAUCUGUGCUUUUUUUAUCAUUAUAAUCCAGUUACUUGAUUGCAUUUAUGUAUCCUUAUAGGCUUAUAUUAACAUAUGUUUACUUCAUUUUCCUUAUUGCUCAGACUCGGGGAUAUCUUGACAUAAGAGACACAGUGCAAUGUGUUGAACUCGCGAUUGCAAACCCGGCACAGCCUGGCGAGUUUAGGGUCUUCAACCAGUUCACGGAGCAGUUCUCUGUUAAUGAACUUGCUUCCCUGGUCACAAAAGUUGGGAAGAAGCUCGGAUUGGAUGUUAAAACUAUAUCUGUCCCCAAUCCACGUGUGGAGGCAGAGGAGCACUACUACAAUGCAAAACACACUAAGCUUGUCGAGUUGGGUCUGAAACCACACCUUCUCUCAGACUCUUUACUUGACUCAGUGCUCAAUAAUGCCAUCAGGUUUAAGGAUCGAGUUGACACUAAACAGAUUAUGCCUAGUGUUUCGUGGAAAAAAAUUGGGGCCAAACCGAAAACAGUUUCAGCUUAUCCAAAUAACUAGGCGAGAUGCAAGGAGAUGUCAAUAGAUGAAAGUUGACAUUUGCAUGGCUAUCUGUUGGGUUGUGUCGUGUAAGCUACAAAAAGGAAAUCUCACUGAUAAUCAUUGGUAGAAGCAAUUAGGUUUGCGCAAGUGAGGAUGGGAUCUGCAUUGACUUGUUUUAUAAGUUUAUUUGCCUUGUAGUUGUAUAUCUGCGAAAUAUGAAUAGUACAACAAAAUUUGUUUGUAAUUGGGAAAGAAAUCUCAAAUUUUUCUGGAGAAGUUUUAUAUGUAACCUGUUAAAACGGCAAAGCCCCUUCUUACUCAAGAGGCAGGUGCCCCUGAUGCAGUUUGGUCAUGAGAUGAGCAGCUAAAAGUAGAAACUGAAUAUCCAUUUACGUUUUGAUGAAGGAUCAGUGUGGCAGAGAUUACAACAUCUAUACUUUUGUUCAUUUCGGGUACCUAGCUUUACAUGGAGAUCAACACUAAGAUGCAUUAAACAGGUGUAUUUUACCAUCUAGUUCUGUCUAAAUUAAUCGCAGAAAUUUAAAUACUGCUGUGUAAGUGUAACUAUGUAUCGAUUGUUUGUAGAAGUUUAACUUGAGUGUAUUUUUUUACCUAAGUUGAAGACAUAAUUAAAAGCUGUUUAAUAAACUAUAUAUGUGGUAUGAAAAUUAUAUAGCGGAAGGAGAUCAGGAAUCCAAAUUACUCUCUCUCCAGAAAGGACUUGCCGCGCAGUUUGUAGCGCGUUUGUCCUCUACAUUUGUGUAAUUCGUUGAGUUUAUCAAUAAAAUUUGAAUUAAAUUUAAUAAAAAAAAAAACAAAAAAACCUCGAACUUCUCUGACUCUCUGUAGUCUAUAUAAACAUUACUCACGUUAUUCUUUUUAUUUUAUAAAACAUAUAUAGUUUUUAGAUCAUUGUUGCUUGUUAGGGUUUUGUGACAAGAUGAUGAUGAUGAGUGGUAGUGAGAUGAAUCGAUCUUAUUUAUUUUGAAAGCAUACUUUUGGUUGUAAGAUCAGGGAAGGAAGUUUUGGUUGUGUAUGGAAGGCUUUUGAUAAUCAUAAUGGUGAAAUUGUUGCGAUUAAGGUUUUGAAAGAUAAGGUUUAUUCAUUGGAAGAGGCGCAAAAUUUACGAGAACUGAAGUUAUUAGGUGAGAUUGAACAUCCAAAUAUUGUUUAACUCAAAGAAGUUCUUGGAGAAGAUGGGUUCUUUACUUAGUGUUUGAAUAUAUGGAUUCUAAGUCUUGGAAAAGUUAUUAGAGAUAGAGGUUUAAAAGAUAAAUUUUUCUCAGAGAUUGAAAUAAGGAAUUACUGUUUUCAGAUAUUGAAUGGGUUGGACUACAUGCAUAAGAAUGGUUGGUUUCAUUGUGAUCUUAAGCCUGAUAAUAUAUUGGUUAGCGGAUACCUUAUUAAGCUUGCCGAUCUAGGUUCUGCACAGGAGUUCCUAUCUAAUACACCCUAUGAAGAGUAUAUUACUACUCGAUGGUAUCGCGCACCUGAAGUAUUGCUCUACUCUGAAUACGGAUCUGCAAUUGAUAUAUGGGUAAUGGGAGCAAUUAUGGCAGAGUUGUUUCUCCUUUGUCCAGUGUUUCCUGGUGAUUGUGGGGACAACCAACUUUAUAGGAUAUGCACUAUUAUGGGUUCUCCGGAUGACAUAUCAUGGGUGGGAGAAAGUGCUAAAUACUAUCGCUUUCCACAAUUGCAAAGAACAUAUGAUAUGAUAAUGACAGGUGUUUCUGAAGAUGCAAUCGACUUGAUGACAUCACUACUGUCAUGGAAUCCAUGUAAAAGGCCAACCACUGCAGAGGCUCUACGCCAUCCAUUCUUCAAGCCGUGCUAUGAAGUCCAAAAAUUGCCAUGCCUAUCAACUGGUCCCCCAAUAGCGCUUGGAUCCACCAGAGGCGCAGUUCAGGCUCAAUUAGUCGUCUGGGUGUUCGUAUAAAAUAUGCUCUUUUCUGGAAAUCUUCUGAACUUGUAAGAAUUGUUAAUUGUGAAUAUCAAUAAAGAAUAUAUUUUUAAUUGUUAACAUCAUUUUGUGUAUCUGUUAAUCAAUGGAGAAAGUUGCAAAGUUUCACUUGGCUUGGUUCAUUUCACUACACUUCUUCAAACUGAAUGGUGCAGUUAAUCAAAACCUCCUUAUCAGCCUUGGUGUUGCACUGAUGCCAGCACUUCUUAUUACAGUAUAUACACCGGUAUACCCUCUGAUUAUCCAUCUGGUAAUCCAAUUACAUCUUGCUUAUUUAAAGUGAGAUAUAGGAGGUAAUGAGGUAUGUGCUUCUUGGAAGGCAAAAUGUACAUAGGAGCACUUGCAUAACCAUGUGUUUACUUCCCUUUCCUAUAGAAUGAGUUUAAGAAAGUGAAUUCAAACCAAUGGAACAUUGCUAAAAUUGUCAUGUUCACAGCAUGACUUUACAAAAGGAGCAAACAGCAUCAUUGAAUAACUGGAACUGCAACAAUACAGAACGCGUUUUUUUCAUUAGUUAUAUACUAAAACAAUUACACACUCAUCCUAAACUCAGCAUACCCUCAGUAUAUGUCAUAGGAAUAUCUCCAACGUCAUAGCACGAUCUUUGAAAUAUGCAACAAAAGGAUCAAGGAAAAGAAUUAUGAUAUGAUGAGGCGAGGCGAUGAGCUCCUUGAUAAUUUGUGAGUGGAUCAACCUCAGUCAUGGUGGAUGAUUAUGAUUCUUCAAAGGUUAUCCUUCUAAACUAAAUCAAGUCAGUGUAAAAACGUCAACAAACCCCAUGCUCUUUUUUAGCUCCUCCCUAUUUCCCAGGGUUUGAAUUAGUGAGACUGCUUCAAGAAGAAUGUUUGUAGCCACGUUGACGUCAUUUCUGGCUUGUACGAGUGCUUGUCUUGCUGAGUUUCUAUCAAACCCCAUCGAAACCAGUGUAGCAAUGGAGUUUUCAGAUGGCUCCAUAGUAGAAGUAAUAGGAGCGGCAGAGCAUAAUUUCCCUGAACCAUGUAAAAAUCAUUUAGUGUGACAUUAUACGGGAUAAUACGGAAUGAUGAAGUAUAGAGGGACUGGUGGGAUACGAAAUAGCAAUUGUCACUGCUGAAACCAUAUCAAAAUGUAUGUGAAUACAUGCAAGUCACAUCAUUUGGGAGCAUUAGAUGUAAUAUAUGAAUGCCUGAACUUUUAAAAUUUAUAAAGAGUAAGCAUUAUGAUUCUUCACAGAGUUCCAGCAAACCAAACACAAAAAGUAGUACCCAACAAGUAUGUGUCCAAAACAUAAGAAGGAAGUCAAUCCAGACAGAGUAUCACCUUGACAGGGUCAUUAGUGUUGCCAAUAGUUCAGGAGAGAAAACAAAGAUAGCAAUGAUGUAAUAAAUACUUGCAGGAACGAAAAAUAGAAUCGACAAAACAAAAGCAGUUAUUAACAAACUUGCCUCCACUUAACGACCUCUAUAAGAUGGUAUACUUCCAAUAACAUUCCCGCUAGAUGCUGAAGGUGGUGAGCCUCCCACAGUGGGCCAAGACAGCCGAGAAAAGAAUGAAGUGAGAAACUCUGGGAACUGUUGAAAAGUCACAUUGUCAUGGAAAAAGAACAAGAGAAUUAGCGAAUUAGCUGGUUGUAAAACAUGUAUGCAAUGCUGUAACAGCAAUCCAGAGAACAAACUAACAAUAUAUAUGUGCGCGCAUCAAAACUAAAAGAUAAGACAUUUUCUUUUAUACAAAGAACAUAAAUAUCUCAUAGUGCCACUUUCAUUCAUUUAUUCGUCAAGGCGUCGUGAGUUGAUAAAUGAUAAUUUUAUCCAUUUGUGACACAACAAGAAUUGUAAUCACGUAACUAAUUCACAAUUAACAUAGUUUCUGAAUCCUGCCACUAUUACAGAGGAUUGACUACAUUUCUCGAGGAAGUGAAUCUGCCAAAGAAGAAAACUGCCGGAGGGUGGAAGUAAAUGGUUCCUAAUGGGGAUCAAUCUGAUAAUUCAAAUUUUUAAAUCUUUCCCUUCUAUUAUAUUUUGAUAGUUGAAAAAGUACUAUUAGUUGAAUAGUCAGGAAUAUCUUGUGUGAGUAUUUUAAGAUCAAGAAGAUCUUCUGAAUGAAACCUGCAUUAUAAUUAGUCUAAAUGUUUUAAUAGUGACAAUGUCCUGCUAGCAAGAUGGUAGUAGAAUGUUCUGUAGUUCUUGGACGCCUACAACUAAAGGAGCUUACUUGUAUGAAACAUACAAAAGGUGACCAUGUUAGUGUGUAUCUUGUAACAGGAUGGGGAAACAAUGAUUGAUCCAUCUCUUUUGGAUGGCUCUUUGUUGAAUGUUGUUCCUUGUUCCUUGUUCUUGUUUAUCUAGUUGUUUUGCUUGUAUCUUAUACUGUCCUUUAGAAUAUAUGGUCUACAUAUUAAAUUUUAAAAUACACACAAAAGGUGAAAAAUAAAUCAGAAGCUAACCUUCAUCUUACGUAUGCCAAACAAAUUCAAUCGAUACCAGCAAGAACACCACAUACGCCUGGAAGAAUAGAUCUUUUCCAGGAUGAAAGAAGGAGCUGUGAGGUAAAAUGAAGUAAGCGCAGCAAUAGUUCAGAUGUCAUUUCAUAAUUCAAAUAGAAGAGGCGGAUGACUAAAAAAAUAUCACCAGCCAUUUCUAUGUGAUUUUAAUUGUGAAGGUUGGUGAUUUAGAUGCUUAAAAAAAUUGUUUUUGUCACCAGCUUUAGUAGAGUGAAGGCUGGUGAGUGAUAAUUAGAAAAACCGGUUGAAGUUUGUUUUCGGAUAUUUCUAUAAAUAUAGAAAUAGAAAUAGAGAAAAAAGAGAAAACCACUAUAGCGGUUGGAGAUGGUCUUAGUUACCCUACCCCCGACCUUUUGUUAUUAGUUCCACAUUUUACACAAAUAUCGGUGGAAAUGGUUUCAAGUUUCAAUCAACAGAUUGUGUAUGUAUAUGCAUAUCGAGCUACAUCGACACAAUGUAUUUACAUUGACGCAAUGUAAAUACAUUAUAUACAAAAAAUAAAUUUGAGAUGGAGAUGGUAGAAAAUAAGUAAAUAGACAGAUGAAUUUUACGUGGUUUGGCAAUGGUGCCUACAUCCACGGGAGAGAUGAGUGUUUUAUUAUUGAACAUGAAAUAUGUUCUUUUAUAUAGAUAUAUAGGGAAUUACAAUUGAUAUUGUAACGAAAAAUAACAGACAGAUAAUAGACAAAUAAUAAAGGAGAAUAUAUUUUGAUCUUGAUCUUGUAAUUGUUGGCAUUAACAUGCAUUACCACAUCAUAAACCCCACACGAGCUCAUAAGCGAUCAUCAAGUUGGGCCAAAUUGGAGUAUGAGUUGUACUGCAUGUCGGGGCGGGCUAAGUCAUUGGAAAUAAACUUGAGCUCGGAUGAGCUCGAUGAAAAUAAGCUUGACGUCGAUGUAGCUUGAUAUGUAUAUACAUACACACAAAUUACAGUAAAAAAAAAAAAUGUACAGGCCACUCUCCUACUUAUAUGUAGCAGUGGAAUUCCUGAUGAUGGUUAGCAACAAAAUGGCACGCUGAAAAAUCAUGUCGCAGACACCGAUUGCCAAGAGCCCCAGAUAGAUACUAAGAGCCGAGUGGAACUUUAAUGAAGUGUUUUUUUUAACGAAACAGCAAACAGAAACCAUCGUCUUCUCCCUCUUUCCGCCGCCAUUCUUCUUCCUCUUCCGCCAUUUUCAACUUCUAUCUCUUGAUUUUGCUACUUCUACUUCUUCCUACUCAAAAAUUACCCAACCAUUUAGCCAUUUUUGUUAUUUUCUAUAUUUAGCCCUCUUUUUAUUAGUUUUAACUCAAAAAUUUAAAUUUUUGGUAAAUCACAAAUUAUGGCUCCAAAAAGAAGAUUGUGCGGUAAAAUCGUUCAAAAGGUGUAUCAAGGAACUAGUAGUACUAUGGAAGAUCAAUCUUUAGAUAAUAUGGAAGUCGAAGUUGUCGACAUUGAUUUUCCACAUUUUCGCGAAGUUCGAGAUUAUACACCAAGAGAGCUCGCUCCAUGUACUGGAUCGCAUCUUAGUGAUAACCAGUAUUCCGUCGAUGUAAGUAUUUGAUUUAAUUUUUAAUUAAUAUUUCAUUAUUUUUUAAUUAAUUUAAUUAGUUUUUUAAUUAAUUUUUUAUUAGUUUUUUAAUUAAAUUUUUUUUAGUUUUUAAUUGGUAAAUUGUUCGUUUAAUGUAGAGGAUGAAAAAUUUGACAUAUAGAGGCAAAAUGAAUAACGUAAUGACUUGGUGGUCAUAUAUGGUGGAGAGAGGAAAUGAUUUUGCUCAUGUACGAGAUCGAAUACAAGCGACGCCAUUUGGGCCUCUCGUUUCUUUGACACCAUUUUGAACUGAUCGUCAACUUAUAUUCGCGUUGCUUGAGCGAUGGUGGCCGACGACACAUACAUUUCAUUUGCCUCUCGGUGAGCUUGCUUUUACUCCUCAUGAUUUUACUAUGCUUACGGGUUUGCGUGUCGGGGUGGGAGAGAUUGUGCCAUAUAUUUCAUCUUAUGAUAAUAAUGAGUGUGAGGCUACUAUAUUAUUCCCAACUCUAAGUGAAUAUGAGGAGGCUUGGAAGGAUGAUGACAAACAAACAGGUUUACAGUAUGGUUUUUUUGAGAAUAUACACAUGCUGCGUACUGUUGCUGAUGAUGAUUGGGUGUUAGAGCCCAAUUCAGUUGAAGAGGAUGAGUAUGUGUUAGCUUUUCUGUUAUACUUUGUGUCUGGGGUUUUGUUUUCUACUGGACACAGUUGUGUGAAGUUGGGUUGGUGUGGAGCGUUGCUUGAUACAAACAAGAUUGGAGACUACGAUUGGGGCGGUGCAGUGAUGGCACACAUGUAUUAUCAGAUGGAUUAUUUUUCUAUGAGUGGCAAGAAAUUACACAACAUCGGUGGGUUCAUUUGGAUUCUACAGGUUAGUUAUGGUUUUUAUAUUAUUUUUAAUUUUUAAUUAAUCUAAAGCAUAAAAGCAUGAAUGAUUUUUUUAUUUUUGUAUAUAAUUUUUUUAAUUACGAAAUUUUUAUUAUGUAGUUUUGGUGGUAUGAGUAUCUGGGCACGUGUAAUCCGAUUUUGUUAGACUGUAGACCACAAGUGUUCCUUCGUAUUCUUAUUUGGGCCCUUGAAAACCUAGCUGAAAUGAUGGGACUUGUAACGAAUAACUUUAAACAAGCAAGGGCCUCGAUCGAACAGAAAACUUGGGAUAGUAUUAGGUGGAUGCCUUGGGCUGGGUUACCAUCAAACAGUGUCCCACAUAUUGACAGCUCUAGAAUCAUAUCUCAGACGAGAGUGGUUUUAGUUUCUCCAGAGAUUAGUGUUUGGUUUUUAGGGGAUAGAUGUUUACGACAGACGACUGGUAUGAUAGCUAUUCCUCAUCCUCCACCACCUGAUAUGGCUCCAGUGAGUCUUCCUUUGGAGCAGAUCCGUGCUCGUAGAUCAUCAUUUAACUGGCCAAUUAGUUCAGCUUUUUGUAAGUUUGUUACGGCUAUGGAGUACCAGUUAUAUUGGAACACUGUUUCUCGGGGCACAUUAGCUAUUUCCCCCGUCUCUCGUGAGGGUAACGUAGAUUAUGUGUCAUGGCGAAACAUACGACCAGAGUAUCAGAUUCCUUUCCCAGCAGACCCUACUACUACUCAGCAAGAUUACCCUUUGAGACAAAUACAAUAUGGAGAACAUGCUGGUGAACAUAGCCUUAGGUUGAUGGGAUCACAAGGUAUGACAUGGACUGUACCGGUUCCCUUUCUCGACCGUGACUUAGUUACACAGCAUGUACCUGAUUUUGAUACCUUAGACGAGGUAUGUUUAUUUUUUUUAUUUACAAUUGUAUUUAUAAUUUUAUAUUUGUUAGUUAAAUCUUGUAUAUUUAUAACUAAGGGAACUCUUGUGAAUACAGGUUGCUCUCCAGUCACGCUUAGCAGAUGCUGUAAUGCUUGGUCAAGGGAUGCGGCAUGCAACAUUUGAUUCUUCUGCGAGAUAUUAUGGUUGGUUGCAAGAGCAAAGGACUGCCACAACAAGGGCUGAAGAAGAACUCGCAGCAAGUGCUUCUAGGGUUGCUGAGCUGACAAGCACAUUAGAGGCCUUGGUAAGUAAUUAUUAAUUACUAUUACAGUUAAACCCUAAAAUUUAUUAAUUUUAGUUAUUAAAUUUUAAUUGUAUUUAUAUUUGAUUAUAGGAGUUGCAAGGGCACACUAGACGCGGUGGACGGGGACGAGGUGGACGGGGCCGAAGUGGACGAGGCCGAAGUGGGGAGAGUAGUCAGGGGAGUGCACCUUGAGUGUUUGAUAUUGCUUGAUAUUAGGGUUGGUUUGAGUGUUUGUUAACUGUAUACUAUUGCUUGAUAUUAGGGUUGUUUCUGUUGAACCACCAUAAAAGAUAAAUUUAUGGUUAUUUCUUAAUGAUUUAUUUAUUAUUCGUUUAAAAUGGUAAUAAAAAUAUAUUAAUCAAAAUAUUAAUACAUUAAUCAAAUUAAAUUUAAAAUUCAAUACAUAAUUAAAUAAAACAUUUUAACCUUCGAUACAUUUUAAUUUUCAUACUCUUCACCACAAGUUGAAUAAAACAUUUUACCCAAUGCAUAAUCAAACUCAAACGAAUCAUGGUUACAAUUUUCGGGAAGCACAUGAAUUUCAUCUUCAUACUCGUCAAUAAGUCAAUUAAAUUCAUCAUCGAUACGCUUUUGUUCUUCGAGUGUUAAUGGUUUUUCUUCUUCGAUGAUUUCUUUCUCCAUUUCUUCACGUUUUUCAUCUUUCGGAUCUUCAAUGCGCGCCGAAAAGUGUUUGACAGAACCAUCUCCCAUAAUUAUAUAAAACAAAGUAUCAAACUCAAAUGAAAAAGAUGAAGAAUGAAGAAGUAAAAAUAAAAUAGAUAUCGAAACAAAGAACAUGUAUAUAUAGAUGUGAUUUAUAGCCGUUUGGAAAUUUAGCCGUUCGGAAAAUAUGGCCGUUCGGAGGUAGCCGUUGGAAAUUUAGAGUUCCACGCUGGUUAGACCUACGUGGAAUUAAAAAAAAAAAAAAAAAGUUUCACGCCGGUUUGACCAACGUGGAAUUAAAAAAAUAAUAAAAAAAAAGUUCCACGCUGGUUGAACCAGCGUGGAAGAUGUUAUUUUCCCCAUUCCUGUAAUCCUAUCUUUGGUUCGAUUUUGGACGAAGUUUUAGCAGACCGGCCCACCACAUCCUACGUGGAUAGCCGGCUGCUAAAAAUAUAGAAGACGCGUUAGGGUGCUGUUUUUUGCGGAAUUCCUAAAUUAUAGGUUUUAGGAGACCCAUUAGAGAUGCUCUAAGGGUUGAAGAUAACAACACCAUAUGUAUACACUAUUCAUUCACUAGGUCCUACAGAAUUUUAUAGGUAUUUGAGUUUUUUUUCACUGUUACCCUUAGAGAUGGUCUUAGUCAUGACGCGCUGAAUGAACCUGUAUUCUUAAACCCUACCACCUCGAGCAAGUUGUGCCACAAGAAGCUAAGGUACUGUUUGUUUUUACCUCUUAUAAGAGGUUGGAUUUACUAGAGCCUCUAUUAAGAGGUGGACCACUAAAAUGAAGUGUUUGUUUUUCACCUCUUAUAAGAGGUUACUAGAGGUUUGCCUCUUAUAAGAGGCUGAUUUUUUGUAGUGACAAUGACCUUGCUAUUAGCCUCUUAUAAGAGGUAGACAUUUUCAAAAUACCUAUCCUACUCAUGAUCUUUAUAACUUUUUCCUACCCCUAGUCCUUAAAUAUAAAAUACCUUAAAUCUUUUUUUUAAUUUCUCUCUCUUUCACAUAUUUUUCUAUCUCUCUUAUAUUUAUGGAAUUUUUUUUUCUUAAGUUAAAAAAUUAAUUUUUUUUAUACAUUUAUGGAAUUAAAAAAAUAUUUUUUUUAGAAGAGGAUAUAAUUGUAAAGUUUACCUCUUAUAAGAGGUUUUACAAACAAACACCUUACAUCUUAUAAGCUCUUGCAAGAGGAAAAAAAAACAAACGAUUUUCAUGUACCUCUUAUAAGAGGCAACCUCUUACAAGACAUACCUCUUAAAAGAGACAUCCUCUUAUAAGAGGGACCCAAACAGCCCUUAAAUGUGUGCUUCCUAUCCCUUCUUCUUGCUACUUGCUUUUGCCAAAUGGACCAAUAAAAUGAAAGAUACAGAUGUGGGGAUCUCCACCCACUAGUUUUCUUUCUCUUUCAAUACUUUUUAACAUUUAUUUCUUUAUUCUUGGUUUAAUCCAUCCCCACUGGUUUUUUCUUGCAAGUUGUAAGACCCUUCUCAGCCACAAACACAGAGUGCGAAUUUGUUCCACACUCUUUAAGAGUGCGGAACAAUACUCUCCCCAGAUCUUGCCACGUGGUUAUAUUAAAAAAUAAAAAUUUUGAUUUUUUUUUUUUUUUUUAAUAUUAAGUAAGAUUAAUUAAAAAAUUAAGACACUAAUAAGAUGGUGCUGUUAACCCUAGUGGGACCAACUAAAUAAAAAAAAAAAAAAAAAGUUGAAGUACGUGGCAAGAUCUGGUGGACAGUGUUGUUAAGAGUGUGGAACAAAUUCAAAUUCACAGACACAAUAACACUUUGUUUACAAACAAGUUUCAAGUUUCAAUACUCAAGAAAGAAAGAAAAACCUCUUUGCUUCUUCAAUACUCUUUUCUAGAGUCUCUCUUUACUUCUACUAUAGCUCUUCAAAACUGUUAACUCUGCUACAACAAAAUCUUCUUAUCACUUGUGAUUAUGUUGUUUUUGUCUUUUUUAUGUGGUUAUUGGAAUUGGAUUGAAAUAAGCAAUGGGUUUUCCUUAAAAUUUCAUUUUCUAUGGUGAUGUAAGAGAUUUUUGCAUUUUAAGAUGAUGGGUAUCUUUGAUUUUGACUAAUUUUGGUCAAGGAAUGUUAUAAAUUAGUCUUUGUAAAAAUCUGUUGGGUGUUUGUUAUGGAAAAUUGAUGAUUCAAGGGGGUAAGAACUGAACAGAUAAAAUAUUUUUGGAUUCAACAAGUUUCAAAGUUUUUAGCUGUAUGCAAUCAGCUCACAUGUUGAUGAAUUGAUAAGAAGUUAGGAUAAAAAUGUUUGGAAAUAGAUUACAGAUUUGCAGUCUUCUUUCAGAAGUCAUUUCUGUCAGAAAGUCAUGUAUUAAAAGUCAUCUGUUGAAAGGUUCCUAAAAUAAAUGCUGUCAAAGUUCUUGAUCUUUUUAUUUACAAGUUUGUAUGUUGAUCUUGCAUCCACCUUUCGGACCUAUGAUGUUUUAGAAUAAUUGUUUGAAGCCACCUAUCAAAGACUUCCUUUUAUUUCACGCCUUAACAUUCAACUUUUUAAUUGUAGAUUGAAUAAAUAAACUGAUCAUGUGAUGGCAACUUUCAGGCACAUGGCAUUGAAACAAACUCAUCCCUUGUGACAGAUGGUCAGGUAGAUGAGGAGACAUCAUUUGAACAAGUUGCAACACGGGAGCUCAAAUUGGCUAUGACACAGGUAAAAGAAUAGUGAUGACUUUAUGAUAGAAAUUGUGACAGUAUGGUUGAUUAUUAUAUCUGAUUAUUGACAGAUCAUUUUGCCUUUGAACAGUUGACAGAAGAAACUCGUAUUUGUUUUCGGGAUUCUUUGUACCGCCUUGCCAAGAGUUCUAGACAACGGCAAUUAGAAAGCCAAAGUGAAGAACUAACCAUUGAUGGGACUUUUUUAACGAACACUCAUGGAGAGACGGCAAGGUAAAUUUUGACUUGUAAUAGUCUUUUACUUAUUAAGAAAUAUAUCUAUUUAGUAGAUAUGAUGCUGGUACUGAUGACGUAUUAAGAGCACCACUUAUAAGCGGGUAAACCCCUCUAAGUAACCAACUGAUCCUAGGCCCCUUAUAUCUCCAUUCAGCAUGACACAUAGGACUGCCUUCGAAAGCAAAACACAACACCUUCAAGAACUCAAAAUCAGAUACAUGAUUGUUUUCUUACGUUUUAAAAUGGACAAGAACUAUUUAUACUGGUUGUAUUUACGGUUAUUUUUAACAAAAGUAUUGCUUCUAUCAUUGAAGUUAGCUUACAUUAUCUUAAAUGAACUUUAUCCUCAGGUUUGAGGAGAAAGUGGAGCAUAUGGAAUCAGAAACCAAUUAUUUUGAUAGCACUGUCGCUCACCUUAUGUUCAAUGAGCUGAACAGUACCCCAGAUCUGUACCAGUUAUCCGUGCAGAAAAGCCAUCAUAACAAUCAUGUUAUGUAGGCAGUAGGCUGUUCCUCAGUCCUUAAUAUUACCUAGUGAGAAGGAUGUUUCAAUCUUUGGUGGAUAACAGAGUAACAAUAGAUAUUACAAAGAAGGGGGAAGGUUGUCAACAAAAGAUUCAACAUCCUGAAUGGAACCCAAAUCAAAUUUCAAAAGCCAUGCAAACAAGAAAAUGGGUCCUUAUAUCGUCUCUGCAUUAGUAAUCCAAGUAAUAAAAUAUGUUCUCAGGAUCUGUUAACGACUUGAGUUUUACCAAGUACAAUUGACAGUCAAGUUUUGUAAUAUUAGUUAAGCUGGAUCAGCACCUACAACGCUGAAAUCUCUUCGUUUUUAUCGAGUAAGGAGGUAUGACAUCCAUGUAGAUAUUCCUAGCUCCCUACAGCAAUUUUCACUAGUAUCAGUUUUCCUGGAAAUCAUAUAUGUAAAACAACUUCCUUGUGCGAGUAAAGAGUGUGCUUUGUUCAGUCAAUUUUGUUGUCAAGUCAGUUUGAUUCUUCUUCUUUCUUUGCAAUAAGGACGAUACAAUUCAUCUGAGGCUAUUGUGCAGUUUAUUGCUUUCAUUGCUAAAAGAAAACAGCGUUGUAUAA
rnacentral:lncRNA from 1 species